rnacentral:lncRNA from 1 species
UGCAGAUCCAGCCUCUGGAAGGUUCUUCACCUCAGGCGACGGCCUCCGAGACUAAUCCGGAUUUUCUGUUUGGGUUGGAUAAAGGGCUCGCUCCGCCUCCCCCCGUGAAAUUGCAGGAUCCAACGCCUCCACCCACGGUUCCAGAUGUGCUUCCCAAGGAUUAUUCAGUGAGAUCGGAUCCAGGAUCGGAGGAUCGCCAUGUUGUUGGAGAUCCAGUGGUGUCCCCCGCGGACUUCCAGAGGCAGAUCCAAAUGGAACAAUCGUCUGGUGACAAUGGCUGGUUCAAUGGUCAAAUUGAGGGUAAAUUAGUCUAAUAAAAAUAUAAGGCCUUUAGAAGAAUUAUCAAAUUUACCCACCAUUUUUAGUAAUUUUUUUCCCCAGCCUACCCUUAAGGGUAAUUCUCCCAAAAAUCAAACCCCUCCAUCACAAGGGAAGGGUCUACACAUAUCUAUUUAGUACAAUAAAAUAAAAUUUUCCUAUAUUAUGGUAGAAGAUGGUAGAGUACCAUCUAAAGAGAAAAGAAUUGAUCAUAAAAAUCAAAUAAAAUAAUAUAAAAACACUCCAAAUAAAAUUAGGAAAAACUUUAUAUAAGAGAGGAAAAUUAAGUUAAUAAAUUCGAAGUAGUAAAUAAAAGAAAAAUUAUUCAUUUUAAAUAUAAUUAUUUUUUUUCUUUCUACCAUUUCUCUCUAAUUUUUUUUCCCUUAUAUUUUCCUCCAAAUUUAUAGAAGCCAAAGCCAAGAAGGCCUAUGCAAGCUGAGAAAUGAUGUAAAAAGGGGAGAUGGAUCUAAUCGGACAAUAAAUGAAGUUGUGGACCCUGCAUUUUGCUCGAUGUUUUCCCACUCGAUGGCGAAAACUCGUUUUUUUUAUUUUGUUUGGUGAAAAUUUGAUUUUUAGAAAAAGACUUGGAGUCGCCACUUAUUUUUGUUUUAUUUUUAAAGGGAAAAACAAAAUAAGAAAGAAAAACCCUAAGUAUGACUCCUGAAGGAAAAAAACGGGUCUGUGAAAAACUGAGUCUAGGUCCGGGGGUUAGGUUACUCAUUGGGAAGGUACGGUGGUAAGUCGUAACACUCCUCUAAGCCCUUAUACGUACGACCUUUACUAAACGAAUUGAGGAAAUUGUGGCAAUUAAUUAUAGAUACCAAAAAAAAAAAAUCAAUAUACAAGUUAUGGUGAAAAUUAAUAUGCACAAAAACAAUGAUGAAAUCUAAUUACAAAAAUACACAAAAUAAAUAAUAAGAGAAUUAUGCAAAAUGAUUUAUUGAAUUAAAUAAAUAAAAUAUAUUAAAAAAUGUUUUAAAGAAAUUUCAAAGGAUUUUAUUAAAAAUGAUUUUGAAUUAAUGAUUUCCAUUUAUUUACUUAUAAAGAAGUAUCAAUUUAUUUUCUCAAUUUUAGUUGUAUUCAAUUUUCAAAAAAACUAUUUACACUUACUGCAUCAAAAGAAUUUAUUACAAAAUUUUAAUUUGGGCACAAAAAUUAAUUUUACUUGCUUUUACUAGAAAAUAAUGAAUUUUUACAAUUUUAUUUACAAAAGUAUUUAGAUUCAUUUUCAUUUAAAAGAGUGAUUUUUAUAAAUUAUUUAAAAUGACAUAACUUUAUUUGCAAAAUAAUUUUAAUUAAAAAGAAAAAUAAAUAUUUAAAUUCUCUAUUUUUGAAAAACACUUUUAAUCCCAUUUUAAUUAAGGAAAAAGAAUUCAUUUGAAAAAAUAUUUUUAGACAAUUUUAUUAAAAAUUAAUUUUUGGAACAACUUUAUUUACAAAACAAUUUUUGGACAAUUUUUAUUAAACAAAGAAAUUUUUUAACAAUGUCAUUAAAAACAAUUUUUCGAAUUCUAUUAAAAACAAUUUUUUUGGAUUUUUCUAAAUGCAUUUUUCUGAAUUUUUAUAAAUAAUAAAAAAAAACUUUCUUUUAUUAAAAAGAAUAUUUUAACAUUAGUAUUUUAUUAGAACAUAUUUACUGAAUUCUUCCUCUCAUUUAAAUAAAAUUUCUAAUUUAUUCGAUGUUUAAUUCUGUACACACUCAAUAAAUAUAUAUGAACAAAUAUUUACAAUAACUAAUUAAAAUAGAACCAAAUAAAAGUGGGAAAUAAAAUAUGUACCCAAAUAAACUUACAAUAAAUUCACGUAUCAUCAAUUCGUACUCAGCCAAUAAGAUUGCAGAAUGAGUCCAUGCAAAAACAAAAUAGCACAAAUGUAAAUAUCCAGAGAUAUAUAAAAUCCCAAACAAAUAUUCAAACCCAAAUUCCAAUUUCAAAUUAGUCUCAUAAAUUUCGUCAAUUAAAAUGAGCUCAAAUUACUAUAGGUCUUAACUCAGAAUAUCCAAAUUAAUAACCAAAAAUACAAACACAAUUAACCAAACCUAAAAUUGGAUAAAUUAAAAUAAAUUCUACUAGACCUAAAUUUAAUAUUUCAUAAUCUAUGCCUAGUUUAAUGUACACCACAAUUUUCCCAUGUCCUAAUUAAACAAUUCAAAUUGGCUAAGCCCAUAUCAAAUAUUCAAAUAAUCCAACAAAUCCCACCCACAUUAUGGGCCCCAAAAUUCACAUCAAUUAACAAGCUCACAUAAAAAAAUACAUGGUCAAGAGAAAUAAUAUUUCAAGCCCAAUCCAAUAAGCUCAAACAAAUAACAACUUAACAAUAGACCCAAGUCCAAAUAAGCAAUAUGCACUUGAUAUAAUCCAAAUAUCCUCAAAUUAAUCACCAAAUACAAUAUACCCAUAAACCCAAAUUAACAAAUUUCAAAUUAAUUCACUAACAAUAAAUUGAAUCAAAUUACGUAUUAAUCUACCAACAACAAAUUAACCCCAAAUUUCAUAUUAAUUCAAGAAUCCAAAUUUCACAAACAACAAUUACUAUUAAAAUAAAAUAAAAUAACAACAAUAACAAUAACAAUAAUAAUAAUAAUAAUAAUAACAAUAACAAUAAUAAUAACAAUAAUAAUAAUAACAAUAACAAUGAUAAUAAUAAUAAUAAUAAUAAUGGAAUGAGUGAAAAUGGGAGGGGGGUCGCUAAAUGGCAGUGGCUCGUCAACGGCGACUGGCCGAUGGUUUGCCGGCGGCACUGACAGAUAGUAAUAAUAAUAAUAAUAAUAAUAAUAGUAACAAUAAUAAUAAUAAUAAAUCAAAUAGAAUAGUGUUUGGAUCGAGAGAAAUGGAGGGAAAAUGAUGGAAAUAAAGAAAUGGGGUUCGGCAGGAGAGAAAAAAAAAAUGGGAAACAAAAAAAUAGGGGGAGUGUCAUUGGAAAAAGAAGAGAAAGGGAAGGAAAAAAAACCAAAACAAAAAAAUGGGGAAAAAGGGGCUGCUAUUGCCGUGUGAGAGUUUAGGGAGAAAAAUAGGAACAGAAAAAUAAGGAAGAGAGGAAUAAGGGGUUGGCCGAUCUUUUGGGAAUGGGUAAAGAGAGAGAAGAGAGAAAAAAAUUGGAGCCAAAAAAAAAACCCUCAGGUCGUCUCUCCAUUUUUUUUCGGGUAGUCCAGAGUAGAAGAAUUGGGGGGGGGGGGGGGGGGGGGGGGGGGGGAAAAGGGGGGCCCCCUUGGGGAAUGGGGGGAAAAAAGGGGGGGGCCAAAGGGGGAAAAAAAAAAGGGGGGAGGGGGGGGGGGGGGGGGGGGGGAAAAAAAAAAAAAAAAAAAAAAUAGGGGGGGGGGGGGGAAAUGGGAAAAAAAUUAAAAAAAUAAAAAAAAAAAAAAAAAAAAAAGAUUUAAUGGGGGCCCCCGUGGGGGGGGGUUGGGGGGAAAAAAAAAAAAGGGGGGGGGGGGGGGGGGGUUAAGAGGGAAAGGGGGAAGGGGGGGGGAAAAAAAAAAAAUAUUUAAAAAAANNNNNNNNNNNNNNNNNNNNNNNNNNNNNNNNNNNNNNNNNNNNNNNNNNNNNNNNNNNNNNNNNNNNNNNNNNNNNNNNNNNNNNNNNNNNNNNNNNNNGGGGGGGGGGGGGGAAAUGGCGGUCGUCCUUGGGAAUUGGGAGGAAAAAGUGGAUGGCCAAAUGGGGAGAAAAAAAAUGGGGGAAGGAGGGGGGGCGGUCGUGUGGGAAGAAUAGGAAGAGAGAGAGUAUGAGUGGGUGGGUGGAAAAUGGAAAAGAAUAUAAAAAAAUAAAAAUAAAAAUAAGAAAAGAGAGAUGAGAUGGCGGCCGAUGGUGAGGGGUAUGGGAGGAGAGAGAAGAAGUGGGUGGGGUGGUUGGGGAAUAGGAAGAGAGAGGAGAAAGGAGAGAGAAAAGAAAAAAUAAAUAAAAAUAAAAUAGAAUAUAAUAAUAAUAAUAAUAAUAAUAAUAAUAAUAAAAUAAAAAUAAAAGUAAUAGUAAUAAAAUAAAAUAAAAUAAUAAAAGCUAUUAAAUGGUGAGUGGACCAAAAAAUACAUGUAAUUGGAAUUUAAAAUUUUAUUGACAAAAUUGGGCUCAAAAUUAAUGUAAAAAUAAAAUUGGGACAAAUUUUGGAGUCUACAAAUAUGCCCCUCUUUAAUAGAGUUUAUGAGUAAAGUGAGUGUAUACACAAACGAAAUGAAGUGAACUUUGCUGAAGAACAAGAAAGACCACCAAAUUUGUCCUAGUAUGACAUGGGCUCUCUUAAAUGAUAAGGCUAGGGAAAAAUGACUUUGAAUGCCAAAAAAAGGAAAGAUGGUGACUCUAGGUGCCUGAAUGAGUAUGCACGACAACUCUGAACGCCAAAACUAAAGAAAGAAGAUGGCACUGAAUGCCAAGUUGGACAAUGGCUCUGAAUGCCAAAAUGAAGACACGACUCUGAAUGCCUAAAACUGAUAAAAGGAAUGGCUCUAAACACCUAAAACUGGAAAAGAUGGCUUUGAACGCUUAUGAAAGAAAAUUGUGGCUCUGAAUGCCAAAGGGAGAUCUGAAGGCCUAUAAUUCUAAACACCCAUGAAAGAAAGUAGUGGCUCUGAACACUUAAAGGGUGAAAACGACUUUGGGUCAUGAGCUCAAGGCUCUGAAUGCUAAGCUGACUAAUGGCUCUAAAUGCCAAGUUAACUGCUCUAAAUGUUGAACUGAAGAUAUGAUGACUUUGAAUGCCAAGCUGACCAAUGGCUUUGAAUGCCCGACCAUGAACGACGGCUCUAAACGCCAAACUAUGGACAAAUGGUGGCUCUGAACGCCAAACUAAGGAUAUGAUGGCUCUGAAAGCCAAACUGUUAGGAAAUGGUGUAUGUCUGACUGUGAACAAUGGAUCUAAAUGCCAAACUGUGAACAAUGGCUCUAAAUACCAAACUGCGGAGAGAUGAUGGCUUUGAAAGCCUAAAUGUGAACGAUGGCUCUGAACGCCAAACUGUAGAGAGAUCAUGACGGCUCUGAAUGCCAAACUGUGAACAAUGGCUAUGAACACUAAACUAUGGAGAAAUGAUGGCUCUGAACUCCUGAAUGUGGACGAUGGCUCUAAACACCUAAACUGUGGAUAAAUCAUGACGGCUCUGAAUGCCAAAUUGUGAAUGAUGGCUCUGAACUCCAAGCUGUGAGCGACGAACUCUAAAUACCAAACUAUGGAGAGAUGAUGGCUCUGAACGCCUGAAUGUGAAUGAUGGCUCUGAACACCUGAAUGUGGACGAUGGCUCUGAACGUCAAAUUGUAAGCGACGGGCUCUAAAUACCAAACUAUGGAUAUGAUGGCUUUGAACGCCUGAAUGUGAACGAUGGCUCUGAACGCCGAAAUUGGAAAUGCGGCUCUGAACAUCAAACUGAAAACCGAUGAUGGCUCUGAACGCCAAAACUGAGAAUGCGACUCUGAACGUCAAAUUGGGAAGUGAUGGUGGCUCUGAACACCGAAACUGAGAAUGCGACUUUGAAAGUCAAACCGAGAAGUGAUGGCUCUGAACGUCGAAAUUGAGAAACGGUGAUGGCUCUGAACGUCGAAACUGAGAAGCAAUGAUGAUGACUCUGAACCCGGAACUGAAAAAUGCGACUCUGAACGUCAAACUGAAAAUCGAUGAUCGCUCUGAACGCCGAAACUAAGAAUGUGACUCUGAACGUCAAACUAAGAAGCGAUAAUGAUGACUCCGAACCCCGAAACUGAAAAAUGCGACUUUGAACAUCAAACUAAAGGUCUAGCUCUGAACGCCAAACUGAAAAUGGCUCUAGAUAUCGAGCUAAAGACAAAUAACGGCUUUAAACGUCAAACUGAAGAUACGACUCUGAACGCCAAGAUGACGAUGUGGCUCUAAAUGCCGAACUGAAUGUGUGGCUUUGAAUGCCAAACCGAAAAGAGAUGGUGGCUCUGCAUGCCAAACUGGAAAGGGAUGGUGACUUUGAAUGUCAAACUGGGCAGAAAUGGUGGCUCUGAACACUGAAACUGGAGAUGCGGCUCUGAAUGCCGAAACUGUGAAACGAUGGUGGCUUUGAACAUUGAAACUAAGAAUUAUGGUGACUCUGAACGCCGAAACUGGAGAUGCAGCUCUUGAACGCCGAAAUAAAGAUGUGGCUCUGAAUGUCGAACAAAAAAAACAAGGAUCUGGAUGUCGAAAUGAAAAUGUGGCUCUGAACACCAAACGAAAAAUGAACGACAACUUUAAAUGCCAAACGAAAAAAGUGGUAGCUCUGAUGUCGAAAUGAAAAUGCAGCUCUGAACGCCAAACUGAAGAUGCGGCUCUGAACGCCAAAAUAAAGAUGUGGCUCUGAACGCUGAACAAAAAAACAAAGAUCUAGAUGUCGAAAUGAAAAUGUGGCUCUGAACUCUAAACGAAAAAAGAACAACGACUCUAAACACCAAACUGAAGAUACGGCUCUUAACGCCAAAAUAAAGAAAAAUGGUGUCAUCAAAUGCCAAAAUGAAAAUACAACUCUGAACGUCAAACUGAGAAAAGGUGGUGGCUCUGAACGCCAAACUAAAAAUGAUAUAAUGACCCUGAAUGUCGAACUAGGAACAUGGCUCUAAACGUCAAACUACGAAGAAAUGGUAGCUCUGAACACCAAACUAAAAAUAAUAGCUAUGAAUGCCAAGAGAAACAAUGACUCUGAAUGCCCAACUAAACUGAUAACUAGGAAUGUCAGGCUGAGAAAGACGACUCUGAAUGCCAUGACUAAGAAGACACGAUGGCUCUGAAUGCCAAGCUGAAAAUGGACGACUCUGUACGUUGUAUUCGAGAAUGGAUGGCGGCUUUGAACGCCAAACAGUAAGGAAACGAUGAGAGGGGGGAGGGGGGGGGAUAUGCCCUAGUGUAGCAUGCCGCCACAACUCUCUAUCCUCUAAGAAGGUAUAAAAGAGACUCCAUGAGCCUCAAGAGAUACUCUGCUAGUGAGUCGGAAUGAUCAAAUCGACUAUAAGCAUAGUCUCACAACCCAUCCGUCUGGAUCAUGAGGCCUGACGAGAUGUCACAAUGAGUCAGACGCCUCUAUCUCGAAAUGCUCUGCUGGAGGAAUUCAUAGUCAUCUCAAAUGGGUAAUCCACUAGGGAGUCUCAAGAGAAUAAUAUGCGAAGGUAACUACCACGAUCUCAUCAAAACAAUCUACUGCGAGGCCAUGGAUAACGGAACAAUCACAACUUGAAUGUCAUGCUCCACCGAAAGCUCAUCUCGAUAAAAAUCACAGGAAUAGUGACCAGUAAAGCAAAUACAGUAUCUCUCCGUCAAGUGAUGAAAACUGUAACAGAUCUGUGAAAGAAUGAUCAUCUCCAUAGCUAAAGGAAGGAAUAUGCCCCAGCAUGGCAUCAGAUGUACCCGAUCUAUCUUGAUAACUUAAGAAUAACUCCAUGGGGAUGCAUAAAAUAUCUGACAUGUACUCCACUAAAAUGGUGCUAUGGGAACCUAUGCGCCUGGAGUAACUCCACCCAAGAAUCACAACAAUAUCGAAAAAUAUGAGCCUGACUGAAAGACUCAAUAAAGGCUCCACUAGAGAAUCAGGACAAAAUGAAAUCAAAUCAUCAACCUGACGUGUAUCUCAUAACUAGGGAUGAUCAUGCAAAUCCAUGGAGAUCUACAAAUCUUGACUUAAAUGGCGAAUAUGCCCCAGUAUAGCAUUGAAUGUGUGACAGGUCAGAAAAAUCAAAUGACAUCAAAUCAUCAAUCAUCAACUAUGCAAUCCUGGUCACCCGAAUCCAUAACUGAAUCAUACCCACAGAUCCAAGAUGUACCUCUCGAAUGAAGAAGCAUGAUGGCAUCUAAGUGCUGAGAAGUGCGAGCCUAACUGGAUGGCUCCCGGGAUGCUCAACUAAAGAAACAUCAUAAAAAUAACGAACAGGUCAUCGUCUCGAUGAGCAUCCCAUAAGUGGGGAUGAUAACAUAGCUCUGUGAAGAUCUAUAACUCUCAUCCAAAACAGAAAUAUGCCCCAGUAUGACACCAGAUGUACGAUAGGUCAGAAAUCGGGUGACAUGAAAUCAUCCAUCAUCAAAUGCGCAAUCUCCAUAAUCCAAAUCAAACCCAAACAUCUAUGAAAUGUCUCCCGGAAUAAUAAGCACGACGACAACCAAAUGCCUAAAAAUGUAGGCUUGGUUGAAUAGAUCCAGAGAGGCUCCACUGAAGGAUCAUGAUAAAAUAAUGAACACGUCAUCGCCUCAGCGUACAUCUUGUAAGUAGGGAUAAGCAUGCAACUCCAUGAAGAUCUGUAAAUCUUGUCCGGGACGGAAAUAUGCCCCAGUAUGGCGUCGAAUGUACGGUAGGUCAGAAACCAAGUGACAUGGAAUCAUCUAUCAUCGAACAUGUGAUCUCCGUGAUGCAAAUCAAAUCCAAACAACUAGGGAACGUCUCCCAAGAUAAGAAACAUGACGGCAACCAAAUGCUGAGAAAUGUGGGCCUGGUUGGAUGGCUCCACAUAGGCUCCACUGAGGGAUCAUAAUAAAAUAACGAACGAGUCACUCAUCUCAGCGUACAUGUUGCAAGUGGGAACAAGCAUGCAACUCCAUGAAGAUCUAUAGAUCUCGCCCGAAAAGGAAUAUGCCCCAGUAUGACAUCGAAUAUGUGAUAGAUCAGAAAAAUCAGGUGACAUCAAAUCAUCCAUCAUCAAGCGCAUGAUCCCGGUAAUCCAAACACAGCUGAAUUAAAUCUAAACAUCAACGAGGCGACUCCCAGAAGAAGAAGCAUGACGAUAUCUAAAUAUUAACCAGAUCUCAAACACCUGUCCAAGUAGAGGCUGUCGAAGACGACAUCUGGUCCCAUGGCCUCAGGAUGGUCUUAAGACACGAGACGUAACGUAGGCCAAGGUGAUAGGGUGAUAGAAAUGAAAGAAAAUUAGGCUCAAAUACCCAAUGAUCAAAAACCCAUGCCCUCAUAUAUGAAAUGCAACAUGUAUAGUGAAUCCUGUGAGCCAUGGACCUAAGGAUGCCUAACGUGAAUAUGAUGUCGAUAAGGAGACAAAAAAAAAAAGCAAAAUGAACUGAUAAUGAUAUGUGUAAUGAUGAUGCGAAGAGAGUAUCAAACCCAAGAUGGGUUGUUGUAAGAAAAGAAUAAGACGUGAAGUGAAAAUGAUGAAUCAGAAACGAAAACGAGAAUGAUGAUGAAAUAAAUAACACAAAGAGGAGUAGUGAUCAACUCAAAUCAGACAUGGAGUGAAGUCACAUCAACAAUGAAUGUAAUGAUGGAAGGGACAAUGACCCAGAUCUUCUAAGAGAAGGUCACUCAUCUCGCUCUCAAAAUAUACAAUAAAAAUGAAUACAAAGAAUGGAGGGUCUCGGAAAGCUCACAUACGAACUCUCAUCAACAAACAUACUCAAUCAAGUGACCCUCGAACAUCAAUAUACACACUCAAUGAUAGAAAAUAAUACACACGUGUUUUUUUUUUUUUUUCAAAUUUUUUUUAACAUAUAUACAAAUGUACACACCCUGAACAUGAACAAAAUAAGCCUCAAAGAUUAUAUCAAUAAUGGAUGACACGCUCUCGAGCGCUAAAGUAACAAAAACUCUCUCUGACAAGAUGACCUUCUCAAACUAAGAAUCUCUGAACCAGUGUCCGUGGGAUAGAUAGUGGUAAUGAUGUGACUACCUUCCAUGUAAUGAACUGAGGAGGAUCACCACUCAAGGUGGAAAGAAUAUGAAGCAAAACAAGCAAUAGAUAGAAUAAAGAAGAAGAGAUGAAGAACAUAACCAAUGAGAUACGAUGGAAUGCAAUGAUGCAGUGAUGAAGAAAGAUAAUGAGAAGAAUGCGUCCCUAGGUCCAAAGCUCACGGAACUCCCAAACAAUGAAUGCAUACACUAAAGGGCCCUUAUCUCGGUGUGAAAAAUGUGAGCAAGGCGAUAAAAACGAAAGGUUGUAAUAUGCAUGCGAGGUUCAAUGGGCUAGCAACAGACGAUAUAUCAAAAGGGAAUAACAAGGUGUAUGGCUAACCGAAAUGAUGGCCACCCAUCCUACGACCAUGGUCUCAAACAUAGUACCUCUUUAGCUGAUCCACAUUGGUCGGCUCAGAGAAUUGGUUUCCAUCUAAUUGCAUCAACCAUGCAGCGCCCUCUAGGGUCAACUCCCUGAUGAAAUAAGGUCCGCUCUAGCUGGGUCUGAACUUCCAUCUAGGAUCUCUAAUCAAUCCUCUGAUGACCCUCAAGACUAAGUCACCUCUUUAUAAUGGUCAAUCAACAAUCUCUACUAUCUUCCUUCACCAGUGGGAGAUGAAGGAAGAAAUGGACUCAUCUAAUCUCUGUCUGAAACCCUUAAGCUCUCUCCUCGACACAUCUACGACAGUACUAAAUGAAAACUGUCACAAAAACUCCUAAGCUAGGUUGUCCCAUGUCCUGCGUCGCGAGGACUCCAAAAAUGUGAACUAAUGUUGGGCUGCACCACUCAGAGAUAAAAGAAACAUGGUGAUCAUCUGUGACUCGUCUAGCCUAUGGGCCCUCAUCACAGUACUAUAGAGUCAAAGAUGAAUACAUGGACAACCAACACCCAUGUACCUCUCAAUGUCAAGCAUCCUGAACUUGGCUGGUAGACUGGCCCCUGGUAUACUAUCAAGAUCAUCGCAAGCUGAUGAACUGUCAGAUACCCUCAACUGCCUGAUACACUACUCGAUACUAUCCAUACAUGCAUGAGUAUCCUCAAGGACUGUCUACUCUGCUGACUGUCUAUCUCCUGCCUGAGAUUGGCUAAGGCCUCCUAAAUAAAAGCCAUGGCAGCCGUGAACUGAUCAACUGUGACAACUCGCUGAUCCAUGUCUGAUCUCUCGGAAAAAUGAACUAAUCUUCCCUUUACUCUAACCUAAUAUGACAAAUCCACACUGAGAAUGAAAAAUCAAUCCUGAAGAGCAUGAAACACAAGAUACCUGAAUAGAAUCCAUGGCGUCUGUGAACUAGUCAAAUGUGACAGUCUGCUGAUUUAUGUCUGAUCUCUGGGAAAAUUGAACUAAGCUCCUUUAUACUCUAACCCAAGAUGGUAAAUCCACAAUGAGAAUGAAGAACCAAUCCUGAAGAGCAUGAAGCACGAGAUAUGGUAGGCACAGGGAAAACAUGGAAGAAAUGCUAGUCAGAAUUGGAAUGAGCAAGACAUAAAAAAUAGGGAAUACUGAUCUUGGUGCACUCUCACUAGAGACUAAAAGAGGGAAUACUGAAUCCCAACUAUGAUCAAAGAGGCUCUGAAGGCCCUCAGAUGCACCCACGUAUAGAGAGGGAGUCCUAAUCGAAGGAUCUACGGCUCAACCUACGAGGUCAAGGUGACUCUAAAUGGAUAUGGGUGGACUUUAAAAUAUCCCUAGCAGAAGCAAUCAUACCCUCCGGCGGUACGCAACCCUCUGCACGCCUCCGAAGAGACGGGGCGCUUCCAUGUAAUGUGGUCAUCACCUCCACACAUGCACUACCUCGACAUCCUAGGGGGUUUCCUAUGGUGAAACCUCUCAAAACUCUCAACUCUUAUGGUCAGCUAGAGUGCGCAGUGACGGUGUGGGUGUAUCCAAAAAUCCUAUGAAGUCAAAGUAGAAAAAAAGAAACACACUAAUCACACAAAUAUCCAUGAAACCUAGCUUUGGGCUAUACAGGUCUUCAAAGAUCGGACUCCUAUCAACAUCAACGUGUCGACCUCCUCCAAAAUGCUCCCAAACAUCGAUAUAGCCCGUCGCUAAACCCUACUCCUAACCGCUAGCUCAGUCGAAGAGCAAACAAAGUAACAAGUCUCAUAUCAAAUACGAGAUCAAGUGAAACAAGGUUGACCGAGUAUAGGGAGUUGGAGGUAAGGGGAUAGAUGUGUGUCCCACACAGACAAGCAAUACAUGCAUCACAUAAAAUAAUAGCAAUCAUGCACCAAACACUCAUGUAAAUAACAGGUAUAUAACUCAUAUCUACACACAAGCUAGGCAAGAAUAUGAUAAGCAAGAUAGGAAUAUAACAAGAAUAGACAAUAUGUCGAGAUAAACAAGAUAAUAUACAACAAAUAAAAUCAAUCAUGCCAAGAUGAAUGAGAUAUACAAAAAUGAGAAUAUACAUGUCCAGGAAAGCAAGAUAAUCAUACAACAAGAAGAGUCACUAUGCUAAAGUAGGUAAGAGAAUCAAUCGAUGUAAUCAAUAUGUGAACAUCUCCAAUGAACAAUAAUAACUAAACAAGCCUCAUGGAUAAACAUAUCAAAGCUCUCAACAUGUAAUCAACACCCAAUCAUACAAAAACACAUAAAGAGGGGUAUCCACUGAUCAACCAAUCAAACGCCACAUUUCUCUCAACUCGAGUUCAAGUUUGACCCUCUAAAAAAAAAAUUCCCCAGUGGAGUCGCCAUUUUGUGGACCCCGUAUUUUGCUGGAUACGUUCCCACUCAAUGGCAAAAACUCACUUUUUUUAUUUUGUUUGGUGAAAAUUUGAUCUUUAGAAAAAGACUUGGAGUCGCCACUUAUUUUUGUUUUAUUUUUAAAGGGAAAAACAAAAUAAGAAAGAAAAACCCUAAGUAUGACUCCUGAAGGAAAAAACGGGUCUGUGAAAAACCGAGUCUGGGUCGGGGGGUCAGGUUAGUCAUUGGGAAUGUAUGGUGGUGAGUCGUAGCACCCCUCUAAGCCCGUAUACGUACGACCUUUACUAAACGAAUUGAGGAAAUUGUGGCAAUUAAUUAAUUAAUUAUAGAUACAAAAAAAAAAAAAUCAAUAUACAAGUCAUGGUGAAAAUUAAUAUGCACAAAAACAAUGAUGAAAUCUAAUUACAAAAAUACACAAAAUAAAUAAUAAGAGAAUUAUGCAAAAUGAUUUAUUGAAUUAAAUAAAUAAAAUAUAUUAAAAAAAGGUUUUAAAGAAAUUUCAAAGGAUUUUAUUAAAAAUGAUUUUGAAUUAAUGAUUUCCAUUUAUUUACUUAUAAAGAAGAAUCAAUUUAUUUUCUCAAUUUCAGUUGUAUUCAAUUUUCAAAAAAGCUAUUUACACUUAUUGUAUCAAAAGAAUUUAUUACAAAAUUUCAAUUUGGGCACAAAAAUUAUUUUUACUUGCUUUUACUAGAAAAUAUUGAAUUUUUACAAUUUUAUUUACAAAAGUAUUUAGAUUCAUUUUCAUUUAAAAGAGUGAUUUUUAUAAAUUAUUUAAAAUGACAUAACUUUAUUUGCAAAAGAAAUUUUAAUUAAAAAGAAAAACAAAUAUUUAAAUUCUCUAUUUUUGAAAAACACUUUUAAUCCCAUUUUAAUUAAGGAAAAAGAAUUCAUUUGAAAAAAAUAUUUUUAGACAAUUUUAUUAAAAAUUAAUUUAUGGAACAACUUUAUUUACAAAACAAUUUUUGGACAAUUUUUAUUAAACAAAGAAAUUUUUGAACAAUGUCAUUAAAAACAAUUUUUGGAAUUCUAUUAAAAACAUUUUUUUUGGAUUUUUCUAAAUGCAUUUUUCUGAAUUUUUAUAAAUAAUAAAAAAAACUUUCUUUUAUUAAAAAGAAUAUUUUAACAUUAGUAUUUUAUUAGAACAUAUUUACUGAAUUCUUCCUCUCAUUUAAAUAAAAUUUCUAAUUUAUUCGAUGUUUAAUUCUGUACACACUCAAUAAAUAUAUACGAACAAAUAUUUACAAGAACUAAUUAAAAUAGAACCAAAUAAAAGUGGGAAAUAAAAUAUGUACCCAAAUAAACUUACAAUAAGUUUCACGUAUCAUCAAUUCGUACUCAGCCAAUAAGAUUGCAGAAUGAGUCCAUGCAAAAACAAAAUAGCACAAAUGUAAAUAUCCAGAGAUAUAUAAAAUCCCAAACAAAUAUUCAAACCCAAAUUCCAAUUUCAAAUUAGUCUCAUAAAUUUCGUCAAUUAAAAUGAGCUCAAAUUGGUCUUAACUCAGAAUAUCCAAAUUAAUAACCAAAAAUACAAACACAAUCAACCAAACCUAAAAUUGGAUAAAUUAAAAUAAAUUAUACUAAACCUAAAUUUAAUAUUUCAUAAUCUAAGCCUAGUUUAAUAUACAUCACAAUUGUCUCAUGUCUUAAUUAAACAAUUCAAAUUGGCCAAGCCCAUAUCAAAUAUUCAAAUAAUCCAACAAAUCCUACCCACAUUAUGGGCCCCAAAAUUCAUAUCAAUUAACAAGCUCACAUAAAAAAAAAUACAUGGUCAAGAGAAAUAAUAUUUCAAACCCGAUCCAAUAAGCCCAAACAAAUAACAACUUAACAAUAGACCCAAGUCCAAAUAAACAAUAUGCACUUAAUAUAAUCCAAAUAUUCCUAAAUUAAUCACCAAAUACAAUAUACCCACAAACCCAAAUUAAAAAAUUUCAAAUUAAUUCACUAACAAUAAAUUAAAUCAAAUUACGUAUUAAUCUACCAACAACAAAUUAACCUCAAAUUUCAUAUUAAUUCAAGAAUCCAAAUUUCACAAACAAUAAUUACUAUUAAAAUAAAAUAAAAUAACAACAAUAACAAUAACAAUAAUAAUAAUAACAAUAACAAUAAUAAUAAUAACAAUAACAAUGAUAAUAAUAAUAAUAAUAAUAAUAAUAAUAAUAAUAAUAAUAAUAAUAAUAAUAAUAAUGGAAUGAGUGAAAAUGAGAGGGGUCGCCGACCGGCAGUGGCUCACCGGCGACGACUGGCCGAUGGUUUGUCGGUGGCACUAACAGAUAGUAAUAAUAAUAAUAAUAAUAAUAAUAAUAAUAAUAGUCACAAUAAUAAUAAUAAUAAAUCAAUAGAAUAGUGUUUGGAUCGAGAGAAAGCGAGGGAAAAUGAUGGAAAUAAAGAAAUGGGGGCUGACAAGAGAGAAAAGAAAAAGGAAAACAAAAAAACAGGGGAAAUGUCAUGGGAAGAAGAAGAGAAAGGGAGGGAAAAAAAACCAAAACAAAAAAAUGGGGAAAAGGGGCUGCUACUGCCGUGUGAGAGUUUAGGGAGAAAAAUAGGAAUAGAAAAAUAAGGAAGAGGGGAAUAAGGGGCGGCCGAUCUUUUGGAAAUGGGUAAAGGGAGAGAGGAGAGAAAAAAAUUGGAGCAAAAAAAAAAAAUCCCUCGGGCCGUCUCUUCAUUUUUUUCGGGUAGUCCAGAGUAGAAGAAUGGGGGGAAGAAGAAGAAGCGGGAAAAAACAAAAAAAAAUGGAGGGGAAAAAUGGCGGUCGUUCUUGGGAAUUGGGGGGAAAAAGUGGAGGGCAAAAUGGGGAGAAAAAAAAUGGGGGCGGCGGCGACGGCGGCGGCCGUGUGGGAAGAAUAGGAAGAGAGAGAGUAUGAGUGGGUGGGUGGAAAAUGGAAAAGAAGAUAAAAAAAAAAUAAAAUUAAAAAUAAGAAAAGAGAGAUGAGAUGGCGGCUGAUGGUGAGGGGAAUGGGAGGAGAGAGAAUAAGUGGGUGGGGUGGUUGGGGGAGUAGGAAGAGAGAGGAGAGAGAAAAGAAAAAAUAAAAAUAAAUAAAAAUAAAAUAGAAUAUAAUAAUAAUAAUAAUAAUAAUUAUAAUAGUAAUAAUGAUAAUAAAAUAAAAGUAAUAGUAUUAAAAUAAAAUAAAAUAAUAUACAAAAUAAUAAAAGCUAUUAAAUGGUGAGUGGGUCAAAAAAUACAUAUAAUUGGAAUUUAAAAUUUAUUAAUAAAAUUAGGUUUAAAAUUAAUAUAAAAAUAAAAUUGAGACAAAUUUUGGGAUGUACAAAAAUGUUUGGAUAUUAGAAGGUCUAAAGUUUAGGCUUUUAUUAGUAAUAUUUCUAUGAAAAAACAAAAAAUUUAUCUUGCUUUUUUUAAAACAUUUUUUUCAAAAUUUUGAAAAUUUUGAGAAAGUAAAAAAUUUUUAAUCCUUAAAUGUUAAGUAUUUUAAAAAGUGUUUUCAAGUAAAAAAAAUAUAUGUACUUACUUUUGUAUAAGAAUUUUUAUAUUUUAUUCUAUUUUAUAAACAAAAAUAAAAAAUGUAUCCAAACAUAUACUAACUAAUUCUCUUUAAAAAUGUUUCUAAUGGAAAGGUACUAACAAAUGACUUUCAAAUAAAAAUGGUUUAAACAAAAUCACUCUCAAACAAGUCUAAGUUAUAAUAAAUAUUUUUCACCAAAAUGAUUUUUAUUUAAAGAAGAAGCCUCAAAAUGAUUUUAAUUUAAACUCAUUUCAUUUGUAAUCUUGUAAUCCCAUGCCCUAAAUGUUCCCAUUCAUCAAUUCCAUUGGUAAAAUUUUAUUAGAAUUAAUAAUUAUUAAAAAAAUUAAAUUCAAAACCUUUUUUAAAAAUCCCACUGUUUAUAUUGUAAUUUGGAUAGUCAUUUCUAAUAAAAAAGAUAUUAUCAAUAUUUUAUUUUUAUUUAUUUUCAUUUUGGUGAAAUUAUAGAAUUACGUGAAUUUUUCUUCUUAAAAUAAAAAAAAUAUUAUAAAGAAAAUGGGGGAAAGCUAAUACGCUAGAUGAAAAUAUAUGGAUUAAUAUGUGCAAUCAAUUUGCAUAAAAUUAAAAUUCUGAUUAUUUUCAUUUUUAUUGUUGUUAUUUAAUCAAAAUAACAAUAAGCGGAAUGAAAAAAAGAAACGUGAGAAUUAAAAAUUCUUCGUGGAAAAUGCUAGCUAGUUGUACUAAUAUUUCAUAGUGGGAGGCUAUAUUUGUUCGCCAUUUUUUCCAAAGAACUUUAUUAAAGGUGAUGGUGAUGGUGAUUAUUUUCCACAUAUAUCAUCAUGUGUCUUGUGCAUGAUUAAAUCUUUAUUCUUGUACUGGAAUAUCAUAUUGAUCUAAGAAAUUUAUAAUUAUAAAAAGAAUUAAAUUUUGUGGCUUAAAAAUGAGGAUUACCUAUUUACCCCUCUAGAUAGUUUCAAGAAUUAAGAUAAAAACUUUUAAAAAUCAUAUCAAGUUUCAUGGUAAAAUAUCAUCAACCCUCCAAAAUGUUAAAAGACUUAAAAUUUUAUCAAAAUAAAAAUUAUUUUUUAAUAAUAUAAAAUAGAAUAAUCCUUUUGAUAGAAAGUGGCACUCUAAAGAUUUUCAUUGAAAAUAUCAUCCAUUAGGCAUUGUGCCCCAAUUUUUUCUAUGGAAGAUGCCAACUGGUUAUGCUAAAAUUUCCAAGGUGGGAGGCCAUAUUGUCUGCCAUUUUAUCCCCAUUUUUUCUUAUCAGAGCGCCACUUUAAUAGAGGUCAUAGUGAAGAUGAUGGUGGGUACACUAAAGUCCACUUUAUUAAAGGUGAUUGUAAACAUGAUAAUGACUUUUAAAUGAUUUAAGCUCUUCGAUAAGGAAAAACUAUACAUCAUAUAUCAUCACGUCUUAUGUAUAAUUUGAUCUUUAUUCUUAUGCUUGGAUAAUAUACUUUGAUUAAAGAAAUUUAUAGUUAUGAAAAAAAUUAAAUUUUGUGACUUAAAAAUAUAAAUUACUUAUUUACUCCCUCCAAAUGGUUUAAAGAAUUAAUAAAAACUUUUAAAAACUAUACAGAAUUUCAUGGUAAAAUAUCAACUCUCAAGAAUGUCAAAAGACUUAAAAUUUUAUCAAAAUAAAAACUAAUUUUCAUUAAUACAAAAGAGAAUAAACUUUUUUCUUGGAUAGAAAGUGAUACUUAGAAGAUUUUCAAUUAAAAAUAUUAUACCAUAGGCGUUGAUAGAAUGUUAGCUAACAUGUUUAUCAAGGAUUUAAUUUGUGAAAAAUGAAUAAAAAUCAAUUAACUAAUUGAUAGGACAGUUGAAAGUGCAUUUGAUAAUGAUUUUAAAAAAUGUUUUUAGUCUUAAAAGUAUUUUUAAAAAAAAUUAAAUAUGAUAAAAUUUAGACAAUACUUUUAAAAAUAUGAAAAAUCUCUUGUAAUUGUGAAAAAUCUUUUACAAUAUUUUUCAAAGAAAUACUUGAUAGAAGAUUAUCUUAAAAACUAUUUUGAAUACAAUAUUUUCGAUAAAAAUGCUUCUACUAAAAAUAGUACCAAAUACACUUCUAAUAAUUACAUUUCCCACAAAUUUUCUAGAAACCAAACAUAUUAAUGGGAAUAAGGGAACAUGAAGCACCCUCUCCAACGAGAAGUUGAAGCCAAUACCUAUACCUUCUAAACCAACUCCUCUCUUCUGCUUGAUUCAUCGUCUCAAAGCUCUCCACACUCAUCAUUUCCCUCAAAACUAGUUAUUAAUCCUCUUUGACAAAACCAUGGGCAACAUUUUCUCCAUUUCAAUCUCCGUUGACCACCUUAUCUCUAGUUGCUGGAAUCGCACUACUGAACAUGCAAAUUACCUGUGCAAACUCCCAGAAAAUCUGGUAGCUCUGGGAACUGCUUGUGAAAGAUUGAGGGAGUUCAGGAACGAUGUGAUGAGGAGGGUGGAUAUCGCUGAGAGGGAACAAAUGCAGCGGCUCGACCAAGUACAAGGGUGGCUUUCAAGGGUUGAAACUCUGGAAACUCAAGUCACUCAACUGAUUGGAGAUGGCACCGAGGAGGUUGAGAAGAAAUGUAUGGGUGGUUGCUGUCCUAGGAAUUGCAGGACCAGAUACAAGUUGGGGAAGAGAGUAGCUAGAAAGUUGAAAGAAGUGGACAUUCUAAUGAGCCAAAGACCUUCGGAUGCGGUGGCUGAGAGGUUACCUUCACCUCGCCUAGGUGAAAGGCCUAAUCAAGCAACUGUCGGCAUGAAUUUCAGAAUUGGUAAGGUUUGGAGCAGCCUUCAUCAAGAACAAGUGGGAAUUAUCGGCCUAUAUGGAUUAGGAGGAGUUGGGAAAACCACCCUCUUAACCCAAAUCAAUAAUGCUUUUACCAAAAGAACAGAUGAUUUUGAUUUUGUGAUCUGGUCAACAGUUUCCAAAAAUGUAAACCUUGAAAACAUUCAGGACGACAUCUGGAAGACGAUAGGGUUUUGUGAUGAUAAAUGGAAAAGCAAAAGUCGAGAUGAGAAAGCUAAGAGCAUCUGGAGAGUCCUGAGCGAAAAGAGGUUCGUGCUGUUGCUAGAUGAUUUAUGGGAGUGGUUGGAUUUAUCAGACGUCGGAGUCCCAUUCCAAAAUAAGAAAAAUAAGAUAGUAUUCACCACUCGAUCAGAAGAGGUGUGCGCUCAAAUGGAAGCGGAUAAGAAGAUCAAAGUGGAAUGCCUAACAUGGACAGAAUCCUGGGAAUUGUUUCGAAUGAAGCUUGGAGAAGACACUCUCGAUUUCCAUCCUGAGAUACCGGAGCUCGCUCAAGCCGUCGCACAAGAGUGUUGUGGUUUGCCACUUGUGCUAACUACCAUCGGCAGGGCCAUGGCUUGUAAGAAGACGCCGCAGGAAUGGAAAUAUGCAUUUAAAGUGUUACAAAGCUCUGCCUCAAAAUUUCCAGGUAUGAGUGACAGAGUGUUCCCUCUUUUAAAAUACAGUUAUGAUUGCUUACCCACCGAAGUUGUCAGAUCUUGCUUCUUGUAUUGUUCUCUAUUUCCAGAAGAUUAUCAGAUACCAAAAAUAGCUAUGAUAAAGCGUUGGUUUUGUGAAGGCCUUUUAGACGAAUUUGAUGACAUGAAGGGAGCAGAAAACCAGGGUUACAACAUUAUUGGCACUCUGAUUCAUGCAUGUCUAUUAGAAGAAGGUGAUGUUGAUUAUGUAGUAAAACUGCAUGAUGUAAUCCGUGAUAUGGCAUUGUGGAUAGCUUGUGAAACAGGGAAGGAGCAGGACAAGUUCUUGGUGCAGGCCUCCAGUGGGUUAACUGAAGCUCCUGAAGUUGCUAGAUGGAUGGGACCAAAAAGGAUUUCACUUAUCGGUAACCAAAUUGAGAAACUAACAGGGUCUCCUAAUUGCCCCAAUCUCUCAACUUUGUUUCUUCAGGAUAAUAGUUUGAAGAUGAUCACUGAUAGUUUCUUCCAGUUUAUGCCAAAUCUAAGAGUUUUAGACUUGUCAAGGAAUGCUAUGACUGAAUUACCACAGGGAAUCUCUAAUUUGGUUUCAUUACAGUAUCUCAACCUAUCACAAACUAACAUUAAAGAGUUGCCAAUUGAGUUGAAGAACCUGGGUAAAUUGAAAUUUUUGUUGUUGCAUCGCAUGAGACUUUCUUCAAUUCCAGAGCAGUUGAUAUCAAGUCUUUCAAUGUUGCAAGUGAUUGAUAUGUUCAACUGUGGAAUUUGUGAUGGUGAUGAAGCCUUGGUUGAGGAAUUGGAGUCCUUAAAGUACUUGCAUGAUUUAGGUGUCACUAUAACAAGUGCCUCUGCUUUCAAAAGGCUUCUAAGCUCUGACAAGCUAAAAAGUUGCAUUUCCGGUGUAUGCCUCGAGAAUUUCAAUGGUUCAAGCUCUCUCAAUUUAACAUCUCUCUGCAAUGUAAAGCGUCUCCGUAACCUCUUUAUCUCAAACUGUGGCUCGUCGGAAGAUUUGGAGAUCGAUUGGGCUUGGGAAGGAAAGGAAACAACAGAAUCUAAUUACCUUAACUCAAAGGUCAGUUCCCACAGCAGUUUCCACAACCUUUCGUGGCUAAGAGUCAAAAGGUGUUCGAGGUUGAAGGAUCUAACAUGGCUUGUUUUUGCUCCAAACCUUAAAGUUCUUUUAAUAACUAGUUGUGAUCAAAUGCAAGAAAUAAUAGGUACCGGUAAAUGUGGUGAAUCUACAGAGAAUGGCGAAAACCUGAGUCCAUUUGUCAAACUCCAAGUACUUACGUUAGAAGAUCUACCACAAUUGAAGAGCAUAUUUUGGAAAGCCCUGCCAUUUAUCUACUUAAAUACAAUCUAUGUAGAUAGUUGUCCACUUCUAAAGAAGCUGCCACUCGACGCCAACAGUGCCAAGGAACAUCGGAUUGUCAUUUCCGGACAAACCGAGUGGUUUAAUGAACUAGACUGGGAGAAUGAGGCAACUCACAACGCUUUUCUUCCAUGUUUCGUACCUAUUGAAGAAUAAGGGCCUGCAGCAAUCUCAGAGAGGCUACAAUGCGAUUCUCGGUGAGACCCUUUUCACAAUUAACUAUCAUUUGAUCCUGAAUAGGUAUUGGUCCAAAUAAAGCAUUCAAUUAUAGCAUCUUUUCAUGGUCGUAUACCUCCCACGUACUGCUGAUACACUUAAAAAAAUGCUAUUCCAUUUCAAACAUGUAAGGCAAUUGAUUGCGGGUUUACAAGGAGUCAUCUUGUUAUUGGAAUUCAAAAUAUACAACUUUUAUGGUUAUGUUUUCUUCUUAAAAAGUAUUAAUAAAAGAAAAUAAAUAUUAAUGAAAAUGAUUUUUUCAUAUUAUUAUAUUAUCAAAAAUAUAAAAGAAAAUAAAAUUAGUUUGAAAUUUACAUAUUUUUUAAAUUGUUUAAUUUUUAUAUUGAAGAGUUAAAAUAAAUAAAACAAGUUAGAAAUAGCAUAUAAAAGUAAUCUAUUAAUUUUAAAUUUAUUUUUUAAUUUUUUUCACUUUUUUUUCCUUGUAUCUUUCCUUUCUAUUUUCUUUUCAUUACAAUUUUUCUCAAAUUUUCCAAGAACCAAACAUAACCUACAUAUAAUGAUCAAAUAUAAUCUUACAAACCAACCCAUAUAAAAAUUUAAGUCCAUUCUUGUGGCUUUUCUAAUUUGGUUUAAUAAGUCAAUAGUAUAUAUUCUUAUACAAUCUUAUUUUGUUUAGUUGCAGAAUAUAACCUCAUAUGCCAUAAAUGCUUCCGCAAUCUUCAGUUAAUGAGAAUCCAUUGUUUUCCAAGGUGAAGGAUAUGGAUGGCUUAAUUUUCAUGCCAACUUUUCAGUAUGUUGAUGACAUUGUAGGCUACCGAAAUGGAACAUAUAAUUGCUUAUAUAUGUGAGGUAAACAAUUGGUUUAUGUAUGUUGUUUCAUAGUGUUUGUGUGCAUAUGUUGUUUCUCUUUGAAUUGCAAUAUUACAUUUUUUGUAUUCUAAGGAUUGUGAGAUGCAUUUUAUGAUUUGUGUAAAAAUUUUGAGUUGGAUGGCUUUCCUUAAUUGCUUUACUUCAAUUGAAGAGCAUGUACAUAAUAUCUUUGAUUGGAAACAAUCUAAUGUAUAAUUUAAAAAAAUAAUCAUAUUUUCAAAUAGAAAAGAUAGAUGAGUUAGGGUACUCCUAGAUCAACUAGGAAUUGUAUCUUUGUUUAUGGAGAAGCAAGCAUUCUUGAGAAAAAAAAUCAAGUCCCUCUUUGUACAAAAAUUUUAGGGGAGAACUUGCCCAAGUCAUGGGUAGACCAUAAUUGGGGCACCUUAGCUAAGGGUCCCAUUUGGUUCCCUAUCUGUGUUUAUCAAAUGUGCCUUUUCAUAAUUGUAAUGGGAAUGGAGUGUGGGAUUUAUAUAACAUUAAAGCAUGUAUUCCUUAAUUUUGCAAUAUGUUAAAGAGGAUGAAACAUUUUUUAUUUGUUGCAAUUCAAGAGCAUGUACUAAAAUGCUCUCUCCAUGUGUUCAAAAUAGAAGAACUCAUUUAUCUUAUGCCCUAUAAAACUUUUUUCAAAAUUUUGAGAAAGUGAAAAAUUUUCACUUCUUGAAAUUUUUAAAUUUUUUUUAUAAAGUGUUUUCAAGCAUAUAAGGUAUUUACUUGUUUUUGUAUAAUAAUUCUUGUAUUUUAUAUAAGACUUCCUAUUUUAAAAAUAAAAAAUAGAAUAUGUAUCCAACCAAGUGAUUCUCUUAACAAAAGUACUAUAAAUAAAAAUACUUUAACGAGAGUCACUCCCAAACAUGUUCUAAGUUAUAUUUUCUAAUGGACUAGCUUUUCUAUCAAAAAAGUUAUUGAGUAGACAAUAAUUUAUAAAAUGCAAAACAUUUUUACUCUAUGGUAAUUUUUAUUUAUCUUUUUCUGUUUAAUAUCCACCUCUCAAUAUCUUGGUAUUUUAAACGAAGGAUAUAAUUUUAUUAGUUGUGCACAUGACAUUAUCUUAUAUAUCCAUGUAAGGUUUUUUCUAAAAUAAGUAAUUAAAAAUUUCAUUAUUAAAAAAAAUAGAAUCAAUAAUAUCUUAUUUUUAUAUAAUACCAAAAUUAACAAAUUUCUUACCAUUUAUGGUUCAUAUAACAAGAAAUAAAUAAGUAAAUGUGUGAAACUAAUAAAAAUAAUUGUUAAUUUAUGGUAAUUAUUUGGAAUAUAUUAAUAUUUAACCGAUGGAGCAUUAGCUUAGCUUAGUUAGAUCAUUUUACCCAACAUAAGUUUUUUAUUUAUUAUUUUAACAUACUAUCAAAUCACUUUUUUUUUUGUUUAUAUUCAAAUAGUAAGUUAUUCUAUUUUAAACUAUUUCUAAUGUAACCACUAUUUAAAAACACUUUUAAAAAUCUCAAAAAAUAACUUGAGGUGAUUUGUAAACAAUCACUUGAUAUGAUUUUCUUAAAAAUCAUUUUUUAAUAAAAUAAUAUGUUACAAAAAAAAAAAUACUAUCAAAACAUUUUUUUUAAUUUAUAUUUAUAGUUAUGGAUAUGCUUCCUAUCUAUAUACAAAAUAUAAGAACUCUAAUGUAUAAAACAAAAUUUUUAUCUUGUGUCUUUAAAACUUUCUUCACAAUUUUGAAAAUUUUGAGAAAGAUAAUUUUUUUAAUCCUCAAAUUUUAAAAAGUAUUUUCAAGUAUAUGAGGUAUUUAUUUUUUUUCUAAGAAUUUAUAUAUUUUAUAUGAGACUUUCUAUUUUAAAAACAAAGAUGGGAAAUGUAUACAUACAUAUAAGUAAUUCUCUUUAAAUAUAUUUAUAAUGAAAUCAUAACUAACAAAAGUAUUGCAAAUAAAAAUACCUUAAGUACAAUUACUCCCAAGUGAGUUCAAAGUUAUAAGAAAUAUUUUUGUCAAUAUUUCAGAUCACCAAAAGAAACUAUAAAGGAUUGCAAUAUUACGAAAAAAUUAAAAAUGAUUUUAGUUUAAGCUCUUCAUUUGCAAUCUUGCAAUCUCAUGCCCUAAAUGUUCCAAUUCAUCAAUUUCAUUGGUAAAAUUUUAUUAAAAUUAAUGAUUAUUAAAUAAAAUAAAUUUAAAACCUUUUCCAAAACCAUAUUGUCGAUCCGAGAAUGCCAUGAACAACAUUGUUGAGUAUGAGGCUUGUAUCUUGGGAUUAGAGACAGCCCUCGAGCUCGGUAUUAGACAGAUGGAGGUGUUUGGUGACUCCAAUCUGGUGUUGAGACAGAUUCAGGGUGAGUGGAAGACUAGAGAUGGGAAACUUAGACCUUAUCACGCAUAUUUGGAGCUACUGGUCGCGAGAUUCGAGGAUUUGAGAUACACACAUCUGCCUAGAGCGCGGAACCUGUUUGUUGAUGCCUUAGCUACUCUAGCUUCCAUGAUUGACAUUCCUGCUGACGCCACUGUUCGUCCAUUAUUGAUCGAGUCGAGAUCUGCUUCUGCUUACUGUUGUCUGAUCGAUGAUGUAGAGUCAGAUGAUGGUUUGCCAUGGUAUCACGACACAUAUCACUUUUUGAGGCUUGGCGUAUAUCCUAAGGCCACUACGACCAAGGAUAGGAGAGCAUUGAGACAGUUAGCCGCCCGAUUCGUGAUUUGCGGCGAGACACUAUAUAGACGAUCACCUGAUGGGAUGCUGCUAUUGUGUUUGGACCACGCCUCUGUCGAUAGAGUGAUGCGAGAGGUUCAUGCGGGAGUAUGCGGACCACAUAUGGGAGGACAUAUGUUGGCCUGUAAGAUCAUGAGGACCGGCUACUUCUGGUUGACCAUGGAGACGGACUGCUGCCAGUUCGUUCAGAGAUGUCCCGAGUGUCAGAUACAUGGAGAUCUCAUUCACGUGCCGCCCUCCGAGUUGCAUGCACUGACUUCACCAUGGCCAUUUUCAGUGUGGGGUAUCGACAUCAUCGGGAAGAUUUCGCCGAAAUCUUCCAGUGGUCAUGAGUUUAUCCUUGUCGCCAUUGAUUACUUCACCAAGUGGGUGGAGGCCGCUUCGUAUGCGAGAUUGACAUCGUCUGGAGUUGCUAGUUUCAUCAGAUCACACAUUAUUUGUCGCUAUGGAGUCCCUCAUGAGUUGAUUUCGGAUAGAGGGGUACACUUUAGGGCAGAGGUUGACACUUUGGUGCAGCAAUAUAGCAUCCGACAUCAUAGGUCGUCUGCGUACAGGCCGCAAACGAACGGGGCAGUGGAGUUGCCAUUUUGUGGACCCCGCAUUUCGGCUCAUGCGUUUCCCACUCGAUGACGAGCUCAAUUUUUCAAAUAAAAUCGAGCUCGUCAUCGAGUGGGAAACUCAUGAGCCGAAAUGCGGGGUCCACACAUAUCCAUUUAAAACAUUUUCAUAUCAGGGAUCUCUAGUUUUGCCUCAUGCUUCUCUUUAGAAUUUUAUUUUUAUUUUUUCAACAUGUUUACUUAAAGUUCCAAAUCCAAUAAUGGUGAGAAAAUAUUCAAUUCUAAAAACCAUUUCCAUAUUCAUAUUUUCAUAUCUGUUUUAUCCUUUUAAAUAAAUAAUCCUAGGCUUUGGCAUCAAUUAAUUAAUCUAUGUUUUGCCCAAUUACCAAGUUGAUUGCAAAAAUAUGCUACACUCAUAAGUCUAAAAUAUGCUUUUGGUUUUUCAGCUUUCUAUUUCACUCCAAUUUUGCCAUCUCAAGUUUCAAAUAUAUAGGUGAAAGAAAAAAAAAAUGCAUAAUUUAGUGUUAGAUUGGAAAUAUAUUUUUUCAAUAGUGUUAACUUUUAUAUAAAAUAUUAUAACUUUUAAAAAUUUACGUUUAAAAGCUAAUAAUUUUUAAAAACUACUAAAAAAAUUUGAGAUAUUAAAAGGUUUUACUUCUCUAAUUUUAAAAUUUUGAAAAUUAAUUUUUCAAGAUAUAAUUUAAAACUUUGUCUAGAUAGAUUUCCUUUUAAAAAAAAUAAUAAAUAGUAAUAACUUCUAAAUAAAAUAUAAAACAUUUUAGAAGUUUUCAUUGAAAAUCUUAUGAUUUUUAAAAAAACCAUUUAAAAGAAUUGAGAUAUUAAAAUGUUUUACUUUCUCAAAUUUAAAAAUCUUUUAGAGCCUAUUUGGCCAUGCUAAUGCUCAUUUUUAAAAACUGUCUUGACUUGAAAUUUUUUUUUUUUUGUUUUUUAGUGUUUUAUAAAAAUAUGGGUGUUUGACAAGCUGUUUUUGAAAUCAAUUUUUAAAAAUAAAAAAUAAAGAACUUGUUUGGAUAAUUUUUUUAAAAUUUUUCAAAAGCAUUAUAAAUUCAAUUUAUAUAAUAUAAAUUUAAUUUAAUUUAUAUUAUAUAAAUAUGAUGAUUUUAUAUUUAAAAAAAAACCAUUUAAAAGAAUUGAGAUAUUAAAAAGUUUUACUUUCUCAAAUUUAAAAAUCUUUUAGAGCCUAUUUGGCCAUGUUAAUGCUCAUUAUUUAAAACCGUCUUAACUUGAAAAAAAAAAUUGUUUUUUAGUGUUUUAUAAAAAUAUGGGUGUUUAACAAGUUGUUUUUUAAAAAUAAAAAACUUGUUUGGAUAAUUUGUUUUUAUUAUUUUAUUUUUUUCAAAAACAUUAUAUAUUCAAUUUAUAUAAUAUAAAUUUAUUUUAAUUUAAGUCUUACUUAAAUGAAAAUAUUUCUUAAUUACAAAUAAAUUUAAAAAUAAAUAGUUUUUAGGAAAAUAUGAAUAGUAAUGAUACAAUAAAAUUAUUAAUUGUAUUUUUUUUAUAUAAAAAAGAUACUAUUUUAGUCUAUGCUAGAAACAUAAGGAUAUUAAUAUCUUAUUUAUUAUCAUUUUUUAUUAAAAAUGAAUUAUAAUAGUUUAAAAAUAAUAAUUAUUAAUAAUAUUUUAUUUUAAAUAAAUAAUGAAUAAAGUUUUAACAUGUAUAUGAAUCAAUUUUUUCAUUCUAUGAACACAUAUAGAAUGAACUUUCUGAUAUAAUAUACCUAAUUAUGAAUAUAAUAUUCUAAAACCUCCAUCGCCUCAUUUGAGGUUUUGAACUUUCUGAUAAAUUCGAAUCAACAACAAUAGAAUUGCUCUUUCAAUAUCAAAGGCUCCUUUUGGCGUCAAUAAACCGCCAGUUAGUUAUUGAAACAACACGUUCAUACACAUAUCUAAGUCUUAUUGGAAUGGAAUACAAGUUACCUUCAAGUAAGGUUUUUGCUUACACAUUUACACAUUUACACAUUUUCUAUCUCAAACUGUUAGUGAAAGAUACAGGGCAAACCUACAUUCAAAUGAUCUGAGCCUGUCAUGUACAAUCCAAGCUCAAAAGUCAAGCUUAAGUUAUAAUUCACACGAAAGAGCUGGUCAGCGCACCAAGCCCAAGAACAAUGAUAAGACUGCCAUUUACCAACCUGACAUAAGCUUGAUAUCUCACAUGGAGAACUUACAAGGUGGGUAAGCAUUUGUUAAUUGACACCAAUCAAUCCUGAUACAGAAGAUGGACAUCUCACAUGAAGGGCAUAAGGUGAACCCCUAGGAUCUUGUUGAGCAAAUUGGACUACACUCCAAUCAAGAGCUAAGAUCUUACUAUACCAAUUCAGGUUAUCCUGAUCACGUGUUAGUGGAGGAAAUGUUGUUGAUUUCCAUUUACAUAACUUUGAUUUAGUAGGUUUGGUCUAAUUGGGGUGUAAUAUACGUUAUACAACGGGGAAAGGGAGUGCGAUGAGGUAGUAAAAACAGGACACAACUUGUGAAAAAGGGUCCAAAGUGGAACCCCUUUUUAAGGCUUUUAAUCCUCUGCAGCUUUGCUGAAAUACUAUAACCCAGAUUACUGGUACACAAGCGUUACCAAAAACCAUCAUUUCUGGUGGAUUAUUCCUACCCUUCAUUGAGGGAAGUCUAACCCUGCAGACAAAUACAACCUAGAUGGCUGAUUUUCUAGCUUCCAUUAAUGGGGAGAUUUUCUCUCAACAUUCACUGACCAUUCUAAGUGGGUAAAAAUUAGAAGUUAAGAGACAUCCUACAUGAUGAAUUAGUCAUGCAGAACAUAAGUCCAGGGAUAUUAUCAAGUACUUUAGGGUCCUUUAGGUCAUGGAAACUACUCGAGAAAGGAAAAAAGAAAAAAGAAAAAAUUAUGAAGGAACAUGUAUUCUCUUGCUUGGUUUGCCAAGGAAAAUUUUGCUUUCCCUUUUUCAUCCUUAUUUUCUUAUUGUCAUACUUCCCCUCAAACUUUUCAUGAUCUAAACAGAAGUUUGACUUAUUUAAGAAGCUACCUGACAAGUAUUUCCUUUCCACAAUUGUUUAUUCAACCAAUGAGGCAUUUUUUCCAUUACUCAAUUCUCAAUCUAGUUUCUUUUACACUAACCCUCAAGAAACAAAAUAACACAUAAGCGGGGCUUAUUUUUCAAUAUAAAAAUUCUCUACCAAGAUAUCAGACGUCUAUGAAUUGAAAAUUUAGAACAAUAUUUUCCAAAUCACCCGUGGGGAUCCAUGAUAAGAUAAAUUAGUUACAUUCUCAUGCUUCUUUACGAACCUUUUUCAACAGACUGAGCCCAGUUAAUGCUUGAUCUGGCCAAAGCAUCCAUCAGAUCAAUACAUUUCCUAAGCAGAGGAUCAUCCCGAGGCAAAAGAUCACGCAUGUCAUCAGAGCCAAGGAUGACAGUGUUCAUAGCCCUCGCCAGAAGAACUUGCAUUGCAAUUCUUAGCAGAUUCCUUGCCACUUCCAUGUCCUUUCGAUUUAAAGAUUCAAUUGCAGAAAUUACAGUGUGCUCCAUUGUUGCUUCAUCUGGAACAACAACCUCAAACCCCUGCAUACAUAGAAUUUAGAUUGGAAGGAAUCAAUGUAUUUACGGAUGACAGAAAUGAAAACCGUGCUAAAAGGUAUAUAGUGAGUUGAUGUGGUAACUAAAACUAAAACAGGUUGCUUUUUUCUCUCAAUUAAAAGCAUCUUUCAGAACUUCAGAACUCCCAUAGAUUCAUAUGGAACAUCAUUAUAUAUAUAUAUGUAUAUAAGCAUGCACUUCAAGGCAGUGUAUGUGAAACACGAUCAGGAGUGUGAGACUGUAAUGACACACGGAAUUCCAAAUCCUAUCAUUAUAUAAUAAUAUAAUAUAUUAAUUUCAUCAUUAUUUUAUCCAUCAUGUGUAGGUGGGACCCAGCUCUGCCCAAAACUGCAAUCCUAUCACAGUUGGCAAAACAUUUUGAAAUUCACUUUUGAGCUCUGUUGUAAUUUCAGUAAACAGUUACAACUAGAAAUACCAAAAGAAAAUAGAAUACAAGUAAAAUGGUAUUUCUGGGGGUUUUAGACAAGCUGUCAUGAUGAAGACAAGAUGGGGGUUUAGCAAAAUGGAUGCUGAUUUUGUUGUAUCGAAGAUUCAACAUUCUUUUGUUAAAGGCCGUUAAAUUUUGGAUGCAAAUUUGAAAGCCAAUGAAGCCAUAGAUUUUAGACUGAAGAGUUUGAGAGAAGGGGUGAAUCUGUAAGUUGUGUUGAGGCCUCGCGUCCCUGGUGAUCCACGUAGUUGCCAAAUGGAUGGACGCACGAUCUCAACCAAUAUAGAUUCCUGGUUCAGUCGUUCCUGCAAAAGGCGUUCGAACAGGGUGUCCGGACACACCCUCUGAUGGUUUUGUCAGCCAUGGUUAAAGAGAAUAAUCAGUUGGUCUUUUACUAGGUAUAGCAAGCUUACUUUCCUCUUUGUGUGAAGGUCCAUAUAUAUAGCGUUUAGGAGCUUUGUUUCUCUCUUUAAUGGUAGGGAGAUAUUUUGUCUUGUCAUGAUGCCUUUAGGUGGUGACAGGGCCAUCAUCACCCUACUGGCGGCUGACAGAGAUCGUGGGAGGCGCCGCAGCUGUCAGAGAUCGUAGGAAGUGACUUGCCAUCAUUCUUGUCCUUUCACUCUGUAGGUGGCAGAACGUGGGCCGUGGCAGGUUGUCGAAAUGACGUAGUAAGACUUGCUUACUUUAGUCAACGAUCCGGUCAAACCUAUCCGGAUAGGAUAUGUCGGUCGUCCGGAUGUGAUGUUUGCGAGUGUCGUGUACUUCUCCCUGAGGGAGUCCGGAUAGGGGAAGCGCGCCACGUGUCUCCUUGGAUCCAGAUGGAGCUAAUCCGGAUAGAAAUACGUGCCACGUGUCAUCAGGGGGAGGGGUCCCUACAAUGCCCCCAUUUUAACCUGCCCAUUUUGCCCGGGCAAAAUGGGCGGGUUAAAAAAUGAUUGUUUUUUGAAACUGAGGUUGACUUUUUUCGCUUUAUUGGGCCACAUGGCGAGCAGGGGCGAAAAAGGAAGAAGAGCAUUUAUGAUGAGCCGCCGAUUCUGGGAUUUCCCAACCAGCGUGUCCUUUCAAUGAUGGCUCGGCUGAGCGUUUGGGAUACCGAGGGGUUGUCUCUCUAUAAAUUGCAAACUGUGUCUUCCUCUUGCAUUUUUUCUUCUGCGUUUUUUCCUGGUAAUGCUUUCUCUUCUACCUUCUGCGUAUCUUCGUUUUCGAGUGAAGCUCUAGGGUUUUCUGCCGGCAAUACUCGUGUUGUGAUGGUGACUGCAUUGCGGAUUUCAUCCCAUUUUUCCAGUUUUACACUCGGUACGUUCGCUACUCUUGUCUUAUCUUCGUUGUGUUUGCUUUGUUGGUUGUUUCUGGCUUGCUGGGCAAGUUGCUUGCGACUGGGUGUCGAUAUUGGUUUCUAGGGUUUUUUCGGGGGAUUCUGUUGUGUUUUGGGUGCGUUUAGGGUUUCUGUUGCCCCUCUGCGCUUUUUGUGGGUUGUCGAUACUUUUUUGGGGUAGAAACAAGGUUUGGGAUGGGGAUGCUAGUGAUGUUAGGUUUUCUGAGCGUUUUUAUCGUUUAAGGCUGUGGGGUCGGAUUGUUGUGUUUGACUGUUGGUCAUUCUUCCAUGCAGGUUCCGUUCCAGUCCCAACCUCAAAAAUGUCUACGAACAAGGGCGCUGUUUCGUCUACUACGGUCGAUCAGAGCGGCAAAGAUGCGUCUGGAGACUUUCACGCGGAGAAGUCUGUGGACAAGCUGAAUGCGAAGGAGUUUCGUGAACGCUUCUGCAUCCCAAAUGGCGUGUUCGUUGAACUUAUGGACGGAGAGGCCAUGUCAACUGAGGAAACUGAGGAUAACGCUAUCUUUUUUACCAAUGAGCAAUUCAAUGCUGGGCUCCGGUUCCCUCUCCCAUCGCUUUUCAAAGAAUUUCUCCACUUCACCCAGAUCCCUCCGGCCUACAUCCAUCCCAACAUGGUCCGAGUGCUGAUGGGAUGCAGCACUCUAAGUAUGUUGUUCAACCUGGACCUCUCGCUGCUGGAGGUUCUUUUCAUCUACUCCCUCAAGAAGGGGAAAAAUGACAUCUUUAGCAUGGUUGCCCACCUGCCUUCUCUCCAACUGGUGAUUGAGCUUCCAGAUUCGACGAAGGGAGGAGCCAAGGGACAUGUGUUGGUCCGGGGUGUCUGGGCUGGGCUAUUGGAGCAUCCAGAGAGGCUGUUUUCCCUAAACCGUUCGUUGGUGCUUCCGGGUAAGGCAGCUUGCAGGGUUUGUCCGGCAUUCAUCUUGUUGUUCUUCUUGCUUUGGGGUUAUCAGAUGGCUUAAUACCUUUGGUUGCUGAUAAAGCAGGUCCGGACAAGAGGGGUCACGUAGUCGAGUGGGUAGAAAAAGCGUUUUUCGUUCGACUAAACAAGUUAUUUGAGAUUACUGCCGCUGAGAGGCAUCAUGAGACGCUGCUUACUACGCGAAACUUGCUGGCUGUUGUCAAGGAGCCCCAGACAUAUGUCACCAAUAUUCUCCCCAGGAAGUUGCCAAAGAAGGUAGUGCCUAGGGAGCAUUACGUUCUAAAAGACCUCCCUUUCUACAAGGAGGUGCGCAAGGUAGAUGCCCAGGCACGUUGAGCACGUCUCGAUGAUCGGGAGGGAAGAAGGAAAGAGGGAACUUUGCGGAGGGCCCCCGGUAAAAAACGCUCCGCGCCCUCUCUUCCUGCUGGCGCCCCAGCGAAAAAGAAGAAGAAGAUGGUUCUCAAUAAGGGGAAAUAAAUAAAACUUCCAACUCCCCCAAAGGAAAUGGUAAUACCACCUCCAACUUUUGUAAAGGAAAUAACAAUAAGAGAGCCAGACCACCCCGUCUUGCCCUCUGUUUCAAGUGGCUCCGGACGUCUCGCAGGUCUAAACCAUUCGGGGCCUUCAGUGCCAGUGGCUGGACAACUGGCUCUUCUGGCUGAGGAAGCGACUUCAGUAAAUCAGCCCGGCUCUCCCCAUCCGGACGUAGAUGCAGCCGGGGCCUCUUGCACUGAAGCAUUGCCUCCUUCGGCACCCCCAAUGAAAGAAACAGGGGUAGAAAGUCAAGGUUUGCCUCCUUAUGAGCCAAGCCCCCUUGCCUUUGUACUAGUGAAGGAGCCAGCUACAAGGAGGUCUCGUCCGGCGUGUGACUUAAAGUCUAGCCUCAUCAGGCGGCUUCAGGAUCGUUUUUUGGAAGCCAUCGAAGUCAGCUGCUCAUCCGUCCAGGAGGAUCAUUCGGAGGGGAGUGAGACGGAGAUGGCAGAAGAGAACCCAACCGCCCCGGUGUUGGUCCCGGAUGGGGGUUCACCCGGAGAGACCCAGUUGGCCGAGAAUGAUGGGGCCCCGGACCCGAGGGAGGAAUCACUUCCUAAUGCCUCGUCAGGGGGGAGUCCCGUUGAUGAUGCAGCUUGCAUCUCCCCUAGUCCUUUCAGCUAUGCGGAGUUAGGAGAGAUGUUGAAAUGGAUUCCAUCCGGCUCAGAUGUUGCUGUGCCUUCAGCAAAAAUGUUUGAAGCGGCGGAAAUGGUAUAGUUUACUUCUUGAUUUAUCUCGUUAUACUGAUGUGUUUGUCACAUGGGUUGUAAUUUUUGCAUUUCUUGUUUGUGGGUUUUUCUGCAGUUGGUGAGCGGUAUUCGCGACAUGGCUCAACAACGUGAUCUUUUUUCUGACCUGCUGCGGACUGCUGAUUAUAUGAAGGCCUUCGUCUCUCAGCGCAUAAACAGUGAAGAGGAUCUGCGCUUGAGAUUGGAGCAGGCCGAAGCCAGUUUAUCCGCUGCUCGAGAUGACAACGAGGCUCUCCGGAUAGAGUUAGCUAAGGCAAAGAGUCGGGAGGAAUCUACAGACGCCCGCCUGCAUGAGGCGGAGGACGAGAUGGCGCAGCUAAGGGAGGAAGUGAGGCAACUCCAGACAGAGGUGUCUAUUGAGAAAAAGUAGAGAGAGGAUUUGCAGUUGCGUUUAUCAGCGCAAAAAGAAGAGUUGGAGGUUGUGUUUGCUGCGGAAAGGGAGGAACUUGAAGCGGACUACCAGAAGCAGGUAGAUGAAAUGUACUUCUUCGGCUACCGUUGCUGUAUGAAGAAACAUGGUAUCAAGCGGGAUGUCCCUUCGAUUCCCUCGGGUGAAAAGGAGAAGCUACCCGACAAGCCUUCCCAAUGAGAGCUUUUCUUUUUGUAAUUUUUUUACUGCUAUCUUCUCUCUGUAUUUUGUAGUCCGGAGAACUCUUUGUAUACAACUUCACAAGUAUUAAUAAAACAUACUUAUUCAUAUUGUACUUGUAUCUUUCUUUCAUUGGUAAUACUGCUUUAAAUUGGAUACAUUCCAUGGUCUGAGUAAUGGGGUUCCGUCUAGCUUUUGUAGAUGAUAAGUUCCACUUUCACUUGUCUUAGAUACUAUAUAGGGGCCUUCCCAGUUGGCUUGAAACUUUCCUACUCCUAUCUCAGCAGUAUUUUCGAAAACCUUUCUAAGGACCAGCGUACCAUUUUUGAAAUUUCUGGGCCUUACCUUGCGAUUGUAGUGAGCGGAUGCCCUUUGUUGAUAGUCUGCCAUCCGGAUGGAUGCAGUUUCUCUUACUUCGUCUGCCCAGUCCAAGUUUCUUCCUAACUUCGCAUUUGCAUCAUCCUGUCUUCCUGCCUCGGUCCGGAUAGUGGGUAGCCCUAUUUCAGUAGGAAUGAUUGCGUCCAUACCUAUGCGAGGGCGAAGGGAGUGUUUCCUGUCGGACGUCCGGGUGUUGUUUGAUAAGCCCAUAGGACGCCGGGUAGCUCCUCCACCCAUUUUUCUUUGGCUUGCUCGAGCCUCUUCUUUAAGGCAGUGAUUAGAGUCUUGUUUGUGGCCUCUGCUUGCCCAUUACUUUGAGGAUAACGCGGUGUAGAGUAUGAAUUCCAGAUGUUUAGUUCCGAACAGAAAUUCCGGAAAGCGAUGCUAUCAAACUGUGGACCGUUGUCGGCUAUAAUGGUUUGGGGGAUUCCGAAGCGGCAGAUGAUGUUCUUCCACACGAACUUGGUGACAUCUUUGUCUUUGAUGCUAGAGUAUGCUUCAGCUUCCACCCAUUUACUGAAGUAAUUCGUGGCGACGAGCAGGAAUUUAUUUUGAGCGGGUGCGGCUGGUAGGGGUCCUACUAUGUCCAUGCCCCACUUCGCGAAGGACCAGGGGCCUGAAAUUGGCUUCAAUGUCUCCGACGGCACAUGUGGUAUGGGGGCAUGACUUUGGCAUUUGUCACAUUUUUUUACAUAGGCUGCCGCAUCCUUCUUCAUCGUGGGCCAGUAAUAUCCUUGCGAAUGGGCCCUGUGUGCCAGAGAUCGACCUCCAGAAUGAUUUCCACAUACUCCCUCGUGCAAUUCAGCUAAUACAUACAGGGCCUCUGAGUGGUUUAGGCACCGGAGAUAGGGACUUGUGAAGGAUCGCUUAUACAAGUGCCUCCCAAUCAGGGUGAAACGGGCAGCUUGCACCCAGAUCUUGUGUGCCUACUUGGGUUCUUCAAGCAGAGUGCCUGUCCGGAGGUACCUUAUAAUGUCUUUCGUCCACUCUUGGUUGUCUACUUGGUUUGCCUCAAUGGUAUUGCAAGUGGAAGCUUCCGCGACAUAAGGGUUGACUUGCACAUGUAUAGGCAACAAUAUGGCUUCUUUGAUGGGGAGGGAGGUAGCUAUGCUUGCCAAGGCGUCGGCGCGCCCAUUUUCAGUUCGUUUUAUUUUUUUGAUCGUCUAUUCGGUGAACUGCUGUAAGGUGUCUCUUACUUUAGCCAGAUAUCGCGUCAUGCGCGCGUCCUUAGCUUCGUAUUCUUUCUGAACGUGCCUUACCACGAGUUGGGAGUCACUAUAGACCCGAAGCUUGGAGACGGAUAGAGCUAGGGCGAGGUCCAAUCCGGAUAGGAUGGCCUCAUAUUCCGCUUCAUUGUUAGAGGCGGUGAACCCCAGCCGAAUGGCUUGCUCCAGAUGUUCUCCUGUUGGUGAUUGUAGUAGGAGCCCUAUUCCGGAUCCUGAUGAUCGUGAGACUCCAUCGACCCGCAAAGUCCACCACUCUUUUUCACUUGGUUCCUUGUGCUGGAUAGGCCUUCGGGAGUAUUCCAGCACGAAGUCAGCCAUAACUUGGCCUUUCAUGGAUAACCUGGGUUGGAACUCGAUUCCAUAUUCGCUUAACUCUAUAGCCCAUUGAAGCAUUCUUCCGGUUAGGUCCGGCUUGUGCAGAAUGUUGCGAAGGGGUUGGUCAGUUAGCACGACCACCGGGUGGGCUUGGAAGUAAGGGCGGAGCUUUUGGGCGGCACUUCGAAAAGUUAAAGCCGUUAGCUCCAUCUUUGAAUACCUGGUUUCUAGGUCUGCCAAUACUCUACUGACGUAGUAGAUAGGUUUCUGCUCCUUGGGCGAUGGGCAACGGAAUAGAACAGCGCUAAUUGCUCACUCUGAUACAGCCAGAUACAUAUACAGUUUUUCUUCAGGGAGGGGACUGCUCAGGAUGGGCGGUUGCAUGAGACAGUGUUUAAUUUUUUCAAGAGCGCUUUGACAGUUGUCCUUCCAUCCGUUUGCUCCAGCUUUUCGUAUUGCCAAGAAGAAGGGUCGCAGUUCGUCAGUGAAGCAGGCUAUAAAACGUCCUAGCACGACGAGUUUGCCUGUGAGGCGCUGUAAUUCCUUUUUGCCCCUGGGGGGUGGUGUUUCCAUGACUACCUUGACUUGAUCCGAGCUAACCUCUAUCCCCCUUUGGCUGACCAUAAAUCCUAGGAAUUUGCCAGCACUUACGCCAAAGGCGCAUUUGGAAGGAUUCAGCUUCAUACCAUACUUCCUUAAGAGUUGGAAGAUUUCUUGCAAGUGGAGGACAUGUUCCUCUCGGGUUUUGCUUUUAACCACGAUGUCGUCAAUAUAUACCUCUACUGUGCGGCCGACCAGAGGUUUGAAGAUUUUCGUCAUCAGUCUCUGAUAAGUGGCGCCAGCUUUUUUGAGUCCGAAUGGCAUGACUUUGUAGCAAUAAAAAUCGUGUGGCGUUAUGAAGGCUGUUUUUUCUUCGUCAGCCGGGGACAUGGGGAUUUGGUGGUAUCCGGAGAAGGCGUCCAAGAAUAAGAGCAUCCCUUGCCCAACAGUGGAAUCCACAAUUUGAUCUAUCCGUGGCAAAGGAAAACUGUCUUUUGCGCAUGCAUUAUUGAGGUUGGUGUAAUCGACGCACACCCGCCAUUUGCCUUCUUUUUUUGGUACCACCACUACAUUUUCCUACCAGUCCGGGUAAUCCACUUCUCUGAUGAAUCCGGCUUCUAGCAAUUUGUCAAUCUCAUUUCGAAUAAUUUUUUGUCUGUCCUGGUGAAAACGUCUAACCCUCUGCCGGAUGGGUCUUGCUGUUGGCAAGACGUUAAGCCUAUGAGAGGUAAUGGAGGGAUGAAUUCCCUUCAUAUCAGAAUGUGCCCAUGUGAAGACGUCAUGAUUUUGUCUGAGGGCGUUCUGCAUGUUCCGGGUCUCUUCUAGUGUCAGGAGGGAACUGAUAUUCGUAAGGUGAGUACCUUCUUCCGAAAUUUGGAUCGCUUGCAAAGGAUCCGCUGCCGGGAGAUCUUUGUCCGCCGGACUCAAUAAUUGUUAUUGGUCACGUGCAUGGCUGGACUCAGGGAGGGAUGCAUCCUUCUGGCUGGUCCCUACUUCACGUGCUAUCUGGUAGCAUUGGCGAGCGGCUAACUGGCUGCCGUAUAGGUCAAUUUGCCCAUCCUUGGUAAGAAAGCUUACCAUUUGAUGAUACGUAGAGGGGAUGACUUUCAUGUAGUGCAGCCAUGUGCGCCCCAAGAUGACAUUGAAGGGUGAUAAAUCUUGUACCACCGAAAAUUGUACGUUGAGAGUGACUGGGCCAGCUUGGACCGGCAGUACAAUGUCUCCCAAGGAAGUAGUUGACGACCCGUUGAAUCCGGACAAGAUUCGCCCAGGGUUUUCGAGGCCUGUGAGACUGUGUCCCAUGUGGCUAAUGACCGAUGCUUGUACAAGAUCAGCCGAGCUACCCGGGUCAACCAGGAUGCGCCUCACGUCAAAGUCUCCUAUCUCUAGGGACAGGAUGAGGGCGUUGUGGUGCGAAUGCAAUAUCCGGGUGGGGUCUACUGGUGGAAAAAUGAUUGUCCCAUCUAUGGGGCGAGGGCCCCCCUCAAUUACUCCAGGCCGGAUGGAGUUGACACGUUCACGCACCGAUGCUGCCCGCAACAACUUUUGUCUCUUUCGUUUGGAGUCGUACUCCUCGUCAGAUGGACCUCCAUUAUUAUAGUUUAUAACCGCUUUGGGGGCGGCUGGGGCCCUGGGGGCUCCAAAGUUGUGAUUUCGGGAAGCGUCUCUACCUUCGGCAUCUGAGCGGAGGUAUUGCUUUAAAUGUCCUGCCCUUAUGAGCCUUUCAUGGAAGGCACAUUUUUUACUAUGAUCUCUUUUGGAUGGAUUCGUUCCGAGGGGUCUAGGCCACCUGAAGUCGGACAUGUCUUAGAUCAUAGGGAGAAGCUUCUCAUAUGAUAUGGAAAGGGGUGUGAGGGGCGGCAUUUUCGGGUGACUUGGCCCUUUCUGCCUUCGAUCGGACGGCCUUGGCCUGUCCGGAAGUUUGGUACUUCUUUCCGCACCCCUUCUGGAUGUCUGUCCGGCAACCAAGACUUGCUGGGUGGCUACACGCACGUCAUCUUCGAGCAUUGAGUAUUUGCUCGCACGCCGGAACAAGUCGUCCAUCGUCGUAGGAGGCUUUUUAGCGAGUGAUUCAAAAAAUGGGGUGCCUGAACAGAUGCUUCGUUUGAAGAUUUGUAGGACAGCAUCCAUGCUGUAAGCCUCUACCUAUAGUACGACCUGACCAAACCGCUUCACGAACUCCCUUAAGGAUUCGUUAUCCUGCAUUUUUAUGUUUUGCAGAGUGCUGAUGUUCUGCUUAUGUCGAGCGAAGCAUAAGUAUUGCCCCACGAAGGCUUCCGAUAGGUCUCUGAAAUUAUCAACAGAGUUAGGAGGUAGGCAGUGAAACCAUGAGAGGGCCUGCCCUUGUAGGCUGGCGGGGAAUACUUUGCAUAGCAGUGCGUCGUUGCCUAUAUCGAGAGUCAUGAGCUGUCGAUAAUGCAUGAUAUGGUCGAAGGGGUCACUGGACCCAUCGUAUGUGGAGAAUUUGGGCACAAGGAAUCCCCUUGGGGGCUCGUAAUGAAUGAUAUGAGAGCAGAAAGGCAUGGAGAGCAUGUCGUCCAGCCUUUUGGUGAUGGAGCCAAUGGGUGGCUCAUUUGGGAGGUUUCUCCCAGCUUGUUGUACCGCUAGGUGCGGUUGAACGUUCUGCACCAUAGGGGUGACCAUGGGGUCACGGUGUGGACGAACAUUCUGCACCAUAGGGGUGACCAUAGGGUCAGGGUGCGCUCCCCAAGUUGUGGCUACUGGCGGCCUUGGCCUCCUAGGCUCCUGUGGGCCUAGCCUCGCGCGCAUCGAGUUUGACAACUGGGGCCUUUUAUCGCGUUGUCUUUUUGCUGAAAAAUGAGCAGAGUCUGAGCUUUCCUCAUGUGGAGCUCGGUGCAUGGGAGUGUGUGGCUCAUGCGGCCUAACGUUGCAUGUUUCUGGGAUGGCUCCUGCUGUCCCAAGGUAUAUUGACUCUGGUUCUGGCCUUGAGUUUGCUACCUGGCCUCUUGAACGUUGACGACGGGGAGGCCCCAUCAAUGAAGCCUGGAUGCAUAGCACCACGUUUUCUUCUCUUAACCUUUCUGUCUCCUAGAGGAGAGUUUGCAGUUGUCGUUAGCUUGUCAAUUGUCUUCUUUUGAUGGCUUGGCGCCAUUCAGAAUUAUCUUCCUCUCCCCUACCAAAUGAACGGCUUCGGGAAGGUGUGGCCAUCUUUGCCGGUGACUGAAUCAGCGAGAUUCCCACAAACGGCACCAAUGUUGAGGCCUCGCGUCCCUGGUGAUCCAUGUAGUUGCCAAAUGGAUGGACGCACGAUCUCAACCAAUAUAGAUUCCUGGUUCAGUCGUUCCUACAAAAGGCGUCCGGACAGGGUGUCCGGACAUACCCUCCGAUGGUUUUGUCAGCCAUGGUUAGAGAGAAUAAUCAGUUGGUCUUUUACUAGGUAUAGCAAGCUUACCUUCCUCUUUGUGUGAAGGUCCAUAUAUAUAGCGUUUAGGAGCUUUGUUUCUCUCUUUAAUGGUAGGGAGAUAUUUUGGCUUGUCAUAAUGCCUCUAGGUGGUGACAGGGCCAUCAUCACCCUACAGGCGGCUGACAGAGAUCGUGGGAGGCGCCGCAGCUGUCAGAGAUCGUAGGAAGUGACUUGUCAUCAUUCCUGUCCUUUCACUCUGCAGGUGGUGAAACAUGGGCCGUGGUAGGCUGUCGAAAUGACAUAGUAAGACUUGCUUACUUUAGUCAACGAUCCGGUCAAACAUAUCCGGAUAGGAUAUGUGGGUCGUCCGGAUGUGAUGUUUGUGAGUGUCGUGUGCUUCUCCCUAAGGGAGUCCGGAUAGGGAAAGCGCGCCAUGUGUCUCCUUGGGGGAAAUCCAGAUGGAGCUAAUCCGGAUAGAAAUGCGUGCCACGUGUCAUCAGGGGGAGGGGUCCCUACAAGUUGGAUAUUCAGAAGUCCAACAAUCAUAGGAUUUGACAACGAGUGAAUAUGUUGGAUACAAUUCCUCAUGUCUAUUGUAACAAUUUCUUUGUUUGUGAAUGGCUCUUUUUUGUUUCUUUCAAAGUCCAAGCGGGUUGAGACAAUGCACCCUCUUAUCUCCUUUGUUUGUUCUAGUUAUGAAGACUUUUAACUGUUUUGUUACCAAGGUGACAAGAGGGGCUUCUUUUAUGACUUUAAAGUAAGGGAAGAUGAAGAAAAGGGUCGGAAGUCUCCCAUUUACUCUUUGCAUUAUGAUAAAUUGCUUUUUUGUGAUUGAUCACGGGCUCAGUUUUGAUGUGAAGUCAUCUCAAAAUUGAGAAUAAGCUCGAAGAAAAGUGAAAAGUCCCCAAUAUUGAAGAAUUAACCUCUUUGUUGGGUUCCAAGGUGGUCAAGUUACCCUUCUCUUUUUUUUUUUUUUUUUUUUUUUUUUUGAGAUAAUCGAAGAACCUUCUAAACCCUUAGGACUCUCCAUAAAGACCCAAACCUUGGGCCUUCCCUAACAAUCGACACUGGGUGAAUCAAAGUAUCAUCAAUAGCAAGAUUUAAAAUCAAGAUCAUGUGCCUCUUAUUAGAACCACAUGCAUCUCCCAUCAUUCGCCCUAACCAACUGGGCUACCCGACAGGCAUACCUUCCUUCUUAGUCUUCCUAGGUUUUCCCUUCAAAGUCUUCUACUAUGUCAAAUGUUCUGAAGGAGAGGCUACUUAAAAGGUUAGCCUCAUGGAAGUGUUAGUAUUUGUCUACAAGUGAAGAUUAACCCUUUUGAAAAGCAUUUUAUCCAAUGUGUCCAUUUACUAUUUGUUAUCCCAAAAAGAGUUCAUAUGAGGUUAAAAAUGAUUAAGAAAGAGUGUUGGUGGCCAGUAAGUUUUUUAAAGAAGAAACCUCAUUUAGUCAACUCAUAUACAAUGUAUUUAGAUGAUAAAAUAAAAAUUAAAUUAAAUUAAAAAUGGAGGCAUUGAAAUAAUCAUUUUGUUCACAAAUAUAUAAUUUAUAUUAUUAAAAUUCACAAUAAUUAUAAAAAGGAAAAUAAUUAAAAAUAACCAAAAAUAUCUUUUUUUGAGUGAAGACACUUUUAACUUUUCUAACUAUUUUCUAACUUUCAUAUGUCAAUAAUAAAUAAUAAAUAAAUAAUUAUUUUUUACUUUUUAAUUAAAAGAAUUUUAGAAUAUCAAUUUUCAGACCUAGGGCAUGUGCAAAACUAUAUUGUUUAUGGUCAAAAUGACAAUUGAUGAGGAUGGUACAACCCAUCCACUCCAAUUUUUAAAACCAUGUUUUUAAGCAAGGCUCCAUUAGGUAAGUAGAGUUGCAGAUUUGCCAUAUAUAGGGAUAAUAUAGAACAAUUUUUGCUCACAAAAGUAGACAUCCUACAUUAGUAAGACCUUUGUAUGCCAGUACCUAGCAUUUAUAAUGCAUAACAAGAACUACAAAACACUUCUUCCUGAGGUUGUUCAAAUUUACACUUCCAUUAAAUGGACUCCUCAAAAUGGGCUACAUCAGACGGGACAUCUAAUGAAUAAUGUAUGGGGGAAUAAGGUAUGACUAAGGUUUUACAUUUAGUACCAAAUCAACAUAUGUUUAUAUAGGGAUGAUUUUGAUGCAAAUCAAAUUAAGCUUUUACAUUUAGUACCAUCAUCCAAGAUUAAUUCACCAUGGCUCUAAAUGGUCAUGCAUGUUUUGUUUCCCCAUAUUUUUAUUAUCGCCCAUGGAAGAAACUACAUGGGUCAUUUAGAGGGGCCCAUCACAAUAACAUAUAGCCCAAUAAAAUUAAUGAAGUCUUAGAAACUGAUUCUAUAAUCCAUGCAUGCAACAAGCUGAGAAAAUAAUCUUUCAAGUUAAGAUUGGAUAGUUGAGCCCCCUUAGAAACUGUACCACACUUCAAAUCUCAUUUUCCCUUAUUUACGUAUUGGCAUACACUGCCCUUUAUCUGCUCACAAAGAAUUAGAGCUUACCAAGAAAAAGUUCUCGUUCAACUCAAACAAUGUAGAGGGUUGUAAAAUAGUUCAAGGAGAGGAAGAGUGGCUGAGUAAGUUAGAACAGAAGGACAAAGCUACUCUAAAUGCCUUUUUGCCCCGUUUCAAAGCAACAUAAGAAUAAGGGGCUUUCAAAGCAACAUAAGAAUAAGGAGCUUAAGAAUGAUUUCCAGUCUUCUAUUUUCAUGUCUAUUUGAUAGUUGGAAUGUGUAUUGUUCAUUUGUGGGUUGAUUCUCUCUCCACCAUUGAAAUUCCCAUGCAGGGACAAAACAAAGGAAAUGUAUGAUGUUAUGAGAUGUUUAUGAAAAGUGUCUUGUAAUUGCAUUAUGUGUAAUAAAGUACUAAGUCUAUAUAGGGUUGUUUAAAAUUGUUGUGAUCUAAGUAUCAUUUUGAUAUGAUUUUAAUUUUUAAAAGUAGAAAAUGAUAUUAAUUCCUAUAUUGAUUUUAAAAUGUUAAAUAUUUGAAAACUUUUACAUGGUAAUUCUAAAUAUUGGUAAAAUCAUACUAUUAAUAUUUUGUACAUUUUUAAUAUUUUCAUCCUUAAUUGAAAAUAUUUUCCAAAGCAACAUAAGAAUAAGGAGCUAAGGAAUGAUUUCCAGCCUUCCAUUUUCAUGCCUAUUUGAUGCUUGGAAUGUGUAUUCUUCAUUUUUGGUUAAUUGCUUUUACGUUUACAGGAAGAAGGGCCCAAACUCCCUUUGUUGCUCCUCUAUCCAUCCUUGUAAUCCCCACGCAUGGACAAAACGAAGGAGAUGCAUGGCUUUAUAUGCAUGACAAGUGUCUUGUAAUUGUGCAUGUGGAAUAGAGUUUGAGUCAAUUGGUCGUUAUUUCAAACUAUUAUGUUGUAAGAAUAAGUUGGAUAUGAUUUUUAGUUUAAAAAAUAGAAAAUAAUGUUUCAAUUUGAAAUGUCUUUAAUGAAAGUGUUUUUAAAAGAAUUACCUAUAAAUGUUUCUGCAAAAAACACUACAACCAAUUUUUUAAUACUAUAAAGUAAUUUCUUUUAAAAUUUAAAAGUAUUUCUUAAAUUUUAUUAAACACCUAAUAUUUUUUUUAAAAACACUUUUUUAGGUUGACAAUGUUUUUCAAAAAGCACUGUCAAAUAGACUCAAACUCUUAUAUUGAUUUUAAAAAUUAUUUCAAAAUUUUAAAAAUUCAAAGGUAAAUUUAAAAAACAUAAUGUAAGUAUGAGUUACUAUAUUUUAUAUGAAAGUGGCUAUUAAUUUCUAUCUCUAAAAAUAAAAAUAAGAAAUGAAUUCAAAUUAUUAGUACUUAAUAAUUAACUAAUUAAUUAGUGUUUGAAUACAAAUAUAUAUACAAUAAAUUAAUAAGUUUCUUAUAUGUUUGGAAAAAAGCAUCUAUAUAGAGUGUUAUUUAUUACAAAUGUAUGAUAAAUUAAUAAGAUUCUCACUUAAGUUGCAUUUUAUUUGAAUUUCAGAGAAAUAAUAGUUGUAAAAUUAGAAGGAAAUAGGGUUGAUAUUGUCAAAUGAUGAUGAAACAUAAUUCAGAAAUUAAAACAGGAAGAAAAAAAAUUAAAUAAUUGUAUAUUCUAUAUUAUAGUGGAGGCAUCAAAUAUUUGUCUAUUAUCAUUAUUAUUAUUCUUUUUAUCAUUUCCACCUAAUUUAUUCAUCGAAUACACAAGAGUUGAGUCACAUAAUCCAUAUUGACCAAAUAAAUAAUAGGACAAAGUCCAACUCUCUCCUCUUAACAUGAUAUAUAUACCUUUUUUUAAUUAAAUGAUAAAGCUAUAUAUAAUUCUAAAAAGAUUCUUUGCAACAAUAUCUUGUAUUUUUGCAUGUGGUCAAAUAAUCAUCCUCAUUAUUAUUAUUAUUUUAAUACCACAACUACUCUACCUAAUAACAAAUGGUUGCCAAUUUUCCUGAUAAAUUAAGUUUUGAAAAGAAUCAUUUCAACUACGUACUCUACCAAAUCAUCAACAAUAAGAAAUGGUUGCAAGUUAUUUUCCCAAUAAAUUAAGUCUUGAAUUCUCCCAACAAAUGAAGUUUUGAAAAGAAUCCUUUAGUUGUAUGGUACUUUACUAUCUUUAUAUGUAAGUAUAUUUGUUCUCAUAUGUAUAAGGAUUUUUUUAUUUAUUUAAAAGAAUCACUUCAAUAUGUGUAUUAUUAAUUAGUUUAUUAUUUUUUAGAAUUUUGUCUAACAUUUUUGUAAUUUUUUAAUCAACUUUUAUCCCAUAAUUUUUUUUUCAAAUUUUUGUAUAAUAUUUGUAAUAAUUUUAUAAAAUUUGAAUAUUGAUAUUUUGUAAAUUUUUUACAUGUUCAUCCAAAAUAUUUUAAAAUUAUAUGUCUUUAAAAUAUAUUAAAAGUUAAAGCAUGCAACCGAAGGUAAGAAAUAUUUGAAAAUUAAGGUCAAUUAUGGUGCCUAUAAUAUUUUAGUCACAAAUCCUUCUAUAAAAAACUUCCGUAGAUCAUAUUAAAAAUAAAAUAGAAAGGAAGUGUUAGGAAGAUGCGAAGAUGUAUGAUAAAUGAAUAAGACUAAGUAGUAUUUUAACUGAACAACUAAGACAACGACGAUAAAAAUAAGAAGGAAAAACAAACUUGUACUACGUCUUGGUAACACCGGAGAAACAUGAUUUAAAAAAUAAAAUUAAAAAAAUUUGAUAACUUACCAUCAACUUUGAUCAUUCCCAUGCUAUUUAUCAUAAUUUAUUUAUUAAAUAUACAAGAGCGGAGUAAUCGAAACCAUAUUGUCUAAAUUAUUGAAUUAAGUGAAGUCUCUCUUAUCUUCUAUCAUCGUCUACUUACAUAAAGCUUAUAACAGUAAAAAAUGAAUUUGAUGGCAUCUUUUCUUCUUUUAUAUGGCCAACUUCUCUAACUAUUAUUUUAAUUCCACAACUUCUCUAACUUAUCAUAAAUGACAAUUAUCGUUUCUAUCAAUGUUUGUUAUUUCCACUUAGUUUAUUCAUUGAUUCAUUGAAUAUACAAGGGCUGAGUCACACAAUCCAUUCAGGUCAAAUAAUUGAAUGAAGUCACUCUCCCUUAUGCCUUUUCAUGAUAUACUUAUUUAUUAGAUGAAACAAUUGUAAUAAUAAAAUAAGAAUUUUGUAAUAACAUCUUGUCUUCUUUCAUAUGGCCAAAUAGUCCUUGUUAAUAUUAUUUUAAUCUCACAAUUUCUCUAACUAAACAUAAAUAAAUAAGAAUUGAUUGCAAGCUAUUUUGUAAAUAAAUUAGAGUUGGAAAUGAAUUAAUCAUUUAGUUAAUGUAUGGUAGUUGCAUAACUAAUCUUAUUAGUUACAACAAUGCAUGGAGAGCAACAAUAAUGUAAUAUAAAAUAAAUAAAUGCAAUUAACAUUAUUUUCUUGAAACCCAAAUAGUUUAACUCUUUUAUGAUUUUUUUUUUACCUCAAGCUAAUUAUUCUAGAAUAUGUAGUGCACUAAGUUGAAAUCAGUAACUCCGACUUCAAGUCAUAUUAAAAAAAAAAAAUUAGGAAUUUGAAAACUAUUAAGAAUGGAUGUAUUAGUAAUUAGCUUUUAUAUCCAAACCUUAUGAUAUGUCUAAGAAAAAUUGAUAUCUAAAUUGAAGACUUCAUAUCAUAAAUUCCUUUUUAAGCUAAACAAUUUAAUGGUAUAUUUGCAAUUUUUAGAAAAUCCAAAUCAAGAUGUUAGGAUCAAAUGUGAAUUAUCAUUAAAUUAGUUGGUAAUUGAUACCAUAAAAAUGAAAUAAAAACUGUUAAUUAAUCAAGUUAUUUAAUUAAGUUGCCAAUUUUAUUCAAAACAUUAUUGAAUUCACUUCACAUGCUUUCUUGGUUUUAUAUAUAUAUAUAUAUAUAUAUAUAUAUAUAUAUAUAUAUAUAUAUAUAUAUAUAUAUAUAUUUUAGAAGUCGCCUUGAAAAUAGAUGAUUUCUCCAUAUAUAUGUAUUUUUUAAUCAAUGAAGAAAUUGUUUCUCUAAUUAAUUUUUCUUAAGAAAUCAUAUCUUAAAGAGAUGAUUUUUUUCUCUAAUUUUUUUGAAAAGAGAUUUUAUAAAUCACCUUUUGAAAAGAUAAUUUUUUUUAUUAUUAUCUUUUUAAAAUGAAAUAAAUCAUCUUUUUAAAGAGACGGUCUAAAAAAGAAAUAAUUUUUUUUUAUUUAACAAAAAUUACAAUAAAUUUAAAAUUAUUUUUAUCACUAUAAUAUUUUAGGAAUGGUCUUUUUAAACUAUUGUACUAAAAAAUCUUUGCUUACCCGGGGGUAGUGGGCAAUAAAGAAAUGAAAAGAAGUUGGCAGGGGGGCGUCANNNNNNNNNNNNNNNNNNNNNNNNNNNNNNNNNNNNNNNNNNNNNNNNNNNNNNNNNNNNNNNNNNNNNNNNNNNNNNNNNNNNNNNNNNNNNNNNNNNNGAAUGGAUGUAUUAGUAAUUAGCUUUUAUAUCCACACCCUUAUGAUAUGUCUAAGAAAAAUUGAUAUCUAUAUUGAAGACUUCAUAUUCCAUAAAUCCCUUUUUAAGCUAAACCAAUUUAAAUGGGUAUAUUUGCCAAUUUUAGAAAAAUCCCAAAAUCCAGGAUGGUUAGGGAUCAAAUGGUGAAUUAUCAUUAAAUUAGUGGGGUAAUUGAUACCAUAAAAAAUGAAAUAAAAACUGUUAAUUUAAUCAAGUUAUUUAAAUUAAGUUGCCCAAUUUUAUUCAAAAACAUUAUUGAAUUCACUUCACAUGCUUUCUUGGUUUUAUAUAUAUAUAUAUAUAUAUAUAUAUAUAUAUAUAUAUAUAUAUAUAUAUAUAUAUAUAUAUUUUAGAAGUCGCCUUGAAAAUAGAUGAUUUCUCCAUAUAUAUGUAUUUUUUAAUCAAUGAAGAAAUUGUUUCUCUAAUUAAUUUUUCUUAAGAAAUCAUAUCUUAAAGAGAUGAUUUUUUUCUCUAAUUUUUUUGAAAAGAGAUUUUAUAAAUCACCUUUUGAAAAGAUAAUUUUUUUUAUUAUUAUCUUUUUAAAAUGAAAUAAAUCAUCUUUUUAAAGAGACGGUCUAAAAAAGAAAUAAUUUUUUUUUAUUUAACAAAAAUUACAAUAAAUUUAAAAUUAUUUUUAUCACUAUAAUAUUUUAGGAAUGGUCUUUUUAAACUAUUGUACUAAAAAAUCUUUGCUUACCCGGGGGUAGUGGGCAAUAAAGAAGUGAAUAGAGGUGGCAGUGGGGCGUCAUCCAGCUGGACCCUCAAAUGCAAAAUAAAGAAGUGAAUAGACGUGGUGGGUUGGCUGUCAUCCAGCUGGACUCUCAAAUGCAAAAAUGGAGAUUCAUUUAUCCCAACAUGAAGCACCGUCUUCAACGAGAUGUUGAAGCCAAUACCUAUAUCUUCUUCUAAACCAACUCCUCUCUUCUGCUUGAUUCAUCAUCCCAAAGCUCUCCACACUCAUCAUUUCCCUCAAAACUACCUAGUUCUUAAUCCUCGUUGACAAAACCAUGGGCAACAUUUGCUCGAUUUCACUCCCUGCUGACCGCAUUGUCUCUAGCUUCUGGGAUGGCACUACUGAGCAUGCAAAUUACCUGCGCAAACUCCCUGAAAAUCUGGUAGAAUUGGGAACCGCUUGUGAAAGAUUGAGGGAGUUAAGGAACGAUGUGAAGAGGAUGGUGGAUAUUGCUGAGAGGGAACAAAUGCAGCCGCUGGACCAAGUACAAGGGUGGCUUUCAAGGGUUGAAACACUGGAAACUCAAGUCACUCAACUGAUUGGAGAUGGCACCGAGGAGGUUGAGAAGAAAUGUCUGGGUGGUUGCUGUCCUAGGCGUUGCAGGACCAGAUACAAGUUGGGGAAGAGAGUAGCUAGAAAGUUGAAAGAAGUUGACAUUCUAAUGAGCCAAAGACCUUCGGAUGUGAUGGCUGAGAGGUUACCUUCACCUCGCCUAAGUGAAAGGCCUAGUCAAGCAACUGUCGGCAUGAAUUCCAGAAUUGGUAAGGUUUGGAGUAGCCUUCAUCAAGAACAAGUGGGAAUUAUCGGCCUAUAUGGAUUAGGAGGAGUUGGGAAAACCACCCUUUUAACCCAAAUCAAUAAUGCUUUUACUAAAAGAACCCAUGAUUUUGAUUUUGUGAUCUGGGCUACAGUUUCCAAAAAUGUAAACCUUGAAAACAUUCAGGACGACAUCUGGAAGAAGAUAGGGUUUUGUGAUGAUAAAUGGAAAAACAAAAGUCGAGAUGAGAAAGCUACGAGCAUAUGGAGAGUCCUGAGCGAAAAGAGGUUUGUGCUGUUGCUAGAUGAUUUAUGGGAGCGGUUGGAUUUAUCAGACGUCGGGGUCCCAUUCCAAAAUAAGAAAAAUAAGAUAGUAUUCACCACUCGAUCAGAAGAGGUGUGCGCUCAAAUGGAAGCUGAUAAGAAGAUCAAAGUGGAAUGCCUAACAUGGACAGAAUCCUGGGAAUUGUUUCGAAUGAAGCUUGGAGAAGACACUCUCGAUUUCCAUCCUGAGAUACCAGAGCUCGCUCAAGCCGUCGCACAAGAGUGUUGCGGUUUGCCACUUGUGCUAACUACCAUGGGCAGGGCCAUGGCUUGUAAGAAGACACCGGAGGAAUGGAAGUAUGCAAUAAAAGUGUUACGAAGCUCUGCCUCAAAAUUUCCAGGUAUGGGGGACAGAGUGUUUCCUCUUUUAAAAUACAGUUAUGAUUGCUUACCCACCGAAGUUUCCAGAUCUUGCUUCUUGUAUUGUUCUCUAUAUCCGGAAGAUUAUCAAAUGCCAAAAUUAAGUUUGAUAAACCGUUGGAUUUGUGAAGGCUUUUUAGAUGAAUUUGAUGACAUGGAGGGAGCAAAAAACCAGGGUUACAACAUUAUUGGCACUCUGAUUCAUGCAUGUCUAUUAGAAGAAGGUGAUGUUGAUUAUAAAGUAAAACUGCAUGAUGUAAUCCGUGAUAUGGCAUUGUGGAUAGGUUGUGAAACUGGGAAGGAGCAGGACAAGUUCUUGGUGAAGGCCGGCAGUACGUUAACUGAAGCUCCUGAAGUUGCUGAAUGGAUGGGGCCAAAAAGGAUUUCACUGAUGGAUAACCAAAUUGAGGAACUAACAGGGUCUCCUAAGUGCCCCAAUCUCUCAACUUUGUUUCUUGCGGAUAAUAGUUUGAAGAUGAUCUCUGAUACUUUCUUCCAGUUUAUGCCAAGUCUAAGAGUUUUAGACUUGUCAAAAAAUAGCAUAACUGAAUUACCCAGGGGAAUCUCUAAUUUGGUUUCAUUACAGUAUCUCAACCUAUCACAAACUAACAUAAAAGAGUUGCCAAUUGAGUUGAAGAACCUGGAUAAAUUGAAAUGCUUGGUGUUGGUUGACAUGCCUCAACUUUCUUCAAUUCCAGAGCAGUUAAUAUCAAGUCUUUCAAUGUUGCAAGUUAUUGAUAUGUUCAACUCUGGAAUUUCUGAAAGAACAGUACUCAAAGAUGGUAUUUUGUCUGAUGAUAAUGAAGCCUUGGUUCAGGAAUUGGAGUCCUUAAAGUACUUGCAUGGUUUAGGCGUCAGUGUAAAAAGUGCCUCUGCUUUCAAAAGGCUUCUAAGCUCUUACAAGCUAAGAAUCUGCAUUUCCGGUCUAUGCCUCAAGAAUUUCAAUGGUUCAAGCUCUCUCAAUUUAACAUCUCUCAGCAAUGCAAAGUGUCUUUCUAGCCUCUAUAUCUCAAAAUGUGGCUCGUUGGAAGAUUUGGAGAUAGAUUGGGCUGGGGAAGGAAAGGAAACAGUGGAAUCUAAUUACCUUAACUCAAAGGUCAGUUCCCACAACAGUUUCCACAGCCUUGUGUGGCUAGGAAUCGAAAGGUGUUCGAGAUUGAAGGAUCUAACAUGGCUUGUUUUUGUUCCUAACCUUAAAGUGCUUACAAUAAUUGAUUGUGAUCAAAUGCAAGAAGUAAUAGGUACCGGUAAAUGUGGUGAAUCUGCAGAGAAUGGAGAAAACCUGAGUCCAUUUGUCAAACUCCAAGUACUUGAGUUAGAUGAUCUACCACAAUUGAAGAGCAUAUUUUGGAAAGCCCUGCCAUUUAUCUACUUAAAUACAAUCCAUGUACGUAAUUGUCCACUUCUAAAGAAGCUGCCACUCAGCGCCAACAGUGCCAAGGGAAAUCGAAUUGUCAUUGCAGGACACAACAAGUGGUGGAAUGAAGUAGAGUGGGAGGAUGAGGCUACCCAAAAUGUUUUUCUUCCAUGUUUCGUACCUGUUAGAGAAUAAGGGGCUGCAGCAAUCUCAGAGAGGCUACGAUGCGAUUCUAGGUGAGACCCUUUUCACAAUUAACUAUCAUUUGAUCCUGAAUAGGUAUUGGUCCAAAUAAAGCAUUCAAUUAUAGCAUCUUUUCAUGGUUGGUCCAAAUAUGUUGUUUCUCUUUGAAUUGCAAUAUUACAUUUUUUGUAUUCUAGGGAUUGUGAGAUGCAUUUUAUGAUUUGCGUAAACAAAAUUGAGUUCGAUGGCUUUCCUUAAUUGCUCUACUUCAAAUGAAGAGCAUGUACAUGAUAUCUUUGAUGGGAAACAAUCUAAUGUACAUAAUUUCAAAAAUAUAAUCAUAUUUUCAAAUAGAAAAGAUAGUUGAGUCAGGGUACUCCUAGAUCAACUAGCAAUUGUAUCUUUGUUCUUGGAGAAGCAAGCAUUCUUGAGAGAAAAAAAAUCAAGUCCCACUUCGUACAAAAAUUUUAGGGGAGAACUUGCCCAAGUCAUGGGUAGACCAUAAUUGAGACACCUUAGCUAAGGGUCCCAUUUGGUUCCCUAUCCGUGUAUAUCAAAUACACCUUUUCAUAUUGUAAUGGGAAUUGGAGUGUGGGAUUUAUACAACAUUAAAGCAUGUAUUCCUUAAUUUUGCAGUAAGUUAAAGAGGAUGAAACAUUUUUUAUUUGUUGCAAUUCAAGAGCAUGUACUAAAAUGCUCUCCCCUUGUGUUCAAAAUAGAAGAACUCAUUUAUCUUAUAUCCUAUAAAACUUUUUUCAAAAUUUUGAGAAAGUGAAAAAUUUUCACUUCCUUAAAUUUUUAAAUUUUUUUAAUCAAGUGUUUUCAAGUAUAUAAGUUAUUUACUUGUUUUUGUAUAAUAAUUCUUAUAUUUUAUAUAAGACUUCCUAUUUUAAAAAUAAAAAAUAGAAUAUGUAUCCAACCAUACACUAAGUGAUUCUCUUAACAAAAGUACCAUAAAUAAAAAUACUUUAAUGAGAAUCACUCUCAAACGUGUUCUAAGUUAUAUUUUCUAAUGGACUAGCUUUUCUAUCAAAAAAGUUCUUGAGUAGACAAUAAUUUAUAAUUAAAUGCAAAGCAUUUUUACUCCAUAGUAAUUUUUAUUUACCUUUUUCCAGUUUAAUAUCCAUCUCUCAAUAUCUUGGUAUUUUAAACUAAAGAUAUAAUUUUAUUAGUUGUGUGCAUGACAUUAUCUUAUAUAUCCAUGUAAGGUUUUUUCUAAAAUAAAUAAUUAAAAAUUUCAUUAUUUAAAAAAAUAGAAUCAAUAAUAUCUUAUUUUUAUAUAAUACCAAAAUUAACAAAUUUCUUAGCAUUUUCAUGUUCAUAAAAAAGAAAUAAAUAAGUAAAUGUGUGAAACUAAUAAAAAUAAUUGUUGAUUUAGGGUAAUUAUUUGGAAUAUAAUAAUAUUUAAACAAUGGAGCAUUAACUUAACUUACCUAUAUCAUUUUACCCAACAUAAGUUUUUUAUUAUUAUUUUAACAUACUAUCCAAUCACACUUUUUUUUGUUUAUAUCCAAAUAAUAAUUUCUUCUAUUUUACACUAUUUAAGAUGGGGUUUAGCAAAAAAUGGAUGCUGAUUUUGUUGUAUCAAAGAUUCAACAUUCUUUUGUUAAAGGCCGUUAAAUUUUGGAUGUAAAUUUGAAAGCCAAUGAAGCCAUAGAUUUUAGACUAAAGAGUUUGAGAGGAUGAGUGAUAUGUAAGUUGGAUAUUCAGAAGUCCAACAAUCAUGAGAUUUGGCAACGAGUGAAUAUGUUGGAUACAAUUCCUCAUGUCUAUUGUAACAAUUUCACUGCUUGUGAAUGACUCUCUUUUUGGUUUCUUUCAAAGUCCAAGUGGGUUGAGACAAGGGACCCUCUUAUCUCCUUCUUUGUUUGUUCUAAUUAUGAAGACUUUUAAUUGUUUUGUUACCAAGGUGACAAGAUGGGGCUUCUUUUAUGACUUUAAAGUAAGGGAAGAGGAAGAAAAUGGUAGGAAGUCUCCCAUUUACUCUUUGCAUUAUGAUAAAUUUCUUUUUUUAUUUUUUAAUUAUGGACUCGGUUUUGAUGUGUAGUCAUCUCAAAAUUGAGAAUAAGCUCAAAGAAAAGUGAAAAGUCCCCAAUAUUGAAGAAUUAACCUCUUUGUUAGGUUCUAAGGUGGUUAAGUAGCCCUCCUCCUAUCUUUUUUUUUUUUUUUUGGAUAAUCGAAGAACCUUCUAAAUGCUUAGGACUCUCCAUAGGGACCCAAACCUUUGCCCCCCCUCCCUAACAAUCGGCACUAGGUAAAUCAAAGUAUCAUCAAUAGCAAGAUUCAAAAUCAAGAUCAUAUGCCUCUUACUGGAACUACAUCUCCCAUCAUUCACCCUAACCAACUAGGCUACCUGGCGGGCUAGUUACCUUCCUUCUUAGUCUUCCUAGGUUCUCCCUUCAAAGUCUUCUACUAUGUCAAAUGUUACGAAGGAGAGGCUACUUAAAAGGUUAGCCUCAUGGAAGUGCUAUUUUUGUCUACAAAUGAAGAUUAACCCUUUUGAAAAGCAUUUUAUCCAAUGUGGCCAUUUACUAUUUGUCACUGUUUGUUAUCCCAAAAAGGUUCAUAUGAGGUUAAAAAUGAUUAAGAAAGUGUUGGUGGCAAACAAGUUUUUUAGAGAAAAAACCUUAUUUAGUCAACUCAUAUACAAUGUAUUUAGAUAAUAAAAUUAAAUUAAAAAUGGAAACGUUGAUAUAAUCAUUUUGUUCCCAAAUAUAUAAUUUAUAUUAUUAAAAUUCAAAAUAAUUAUAAAAAGGAAAAUAAUUAAAAAUAACCAAAAAUAUAUUUUUUUAAGUGAAGACACUUUUAACUUUUCUAACUGUUUUCUAACUUUCACAUAUCAAUAAUAAAUAAAUAAAUAUAUAAUUAUUUUUUACUUUUUAAUUAAAAUAAUUUUAGAAUAUUAAUUUUUAGACCCAGGGCAUGUGCAAAACAAUAUUGUUUAUGGUCAAAAUGACAAUUGAAUAGGAUGGUGCAGUCCAUCCACUCCAAUUUUUAAAACCAUGUUUUUAAACAAGGCUCCAUUGAGUAAGUAGAGUUGCAGAUUUGCCAUAUAUAGGGAUAAGCUUCAAAGACAACCAUCUUAGAUAAAUUUUUGGUGAGGAGGGAGGAUGGUAGGACUAUGGAAAGAAAUUAGGAAAUGAUGGAAGGUGUUUCAAACAAGAAGUGGCUUUUGAGCUAUCCUCUUUUUUAUUAUAUACUAACUAAACACAUUAAUUAUUCCACCAGCCCAACUCUGUGUAGGAAUCAAACUUCCCAUAUAGAACAAUUUUAGCUCACAGAAGUAGACAUCCAACAUUAGUAAGACCUUUGUAUGUCAGUACCUAGCAUUUAUAAUGCAGAACAAGAAACUACAAAACACUUCUUCCUGAGGUUGUACAAAUUUACACCUGCAUUAAAUGAACUCCUCCAAAUGGGCUACAUCAGACAUGACACAUUAUGAAUAAGGUAUGAAUAAGGCUUUACACUUAGGACCAAAUCAACAUAUAUUUAUAUUGGGCUGAUUUUGAUGCAAAUCAAAUAAAACUUUUACAUUUAGUACCAUCGUCCAACAUUAAUUCACCAUGGUCCUAGAUGGUCAUGCAUGUUUUGUUUCCCAUAUUUUUAUUAGUCGUCCAUGGAAGAACCUACAUGGGUCAUUUAGAGGGGCCCAUCACAAUAACACAGCCCAAUAAAAUUAAUGAAGUCUUAGAAACUGAUUCUAUGAUCCAUGCAUGCAACAAGCUGAGAAAAUAAUCUUUCAAGUUAAGAUUGGACAGUUGAGCUCCCUUAGAAACUCUACCACAUUUCAAAUCUCAUUUUCCCUCAUUUAUGUAUUGGCAUACACUGCCCUUUAUCUGCUCACAAAGAAUUAGAGCUUACCAAGAAAAAGUUCCCGUUCAACUCAAACAGUGUAGAGGAUUGUGAAGUAGUUCAAGGAGAGGAAGAGUGGCUGAGUGAGUUAGAACGGGAGGACAAAGCUACUCUAAAUUCCUUUUUGCCCCGUUUCAAAGCAACAUAAGAAUAAGGAGCUUAAGAAUGAUGUACAGUCUUCUAUUUUCAUGUCUAUUUGAUACUUGGAAUGUGUAUUGUUCAUUUGUGGGUUGAUUCUCUCCCCACCCUUGCAAUCCCCACACACGGACAAAACAAAGGAGAUGUAUGGUGUUAUGAGAUGUUUAUGACAAGUGUCUUGUAAUUGCGUUAUGUAUAAUGAAGUACUGAGUCUGUAUGGGGCUGUUUAAAAUUGUUGUGUUCUAAGUAUCAUUUUGAUAUGAUUUUUAUUUUAAAAAAAAUUAUAUUAAUUCCCAUAUUGAUUUUAAAUAUUAUUUCAAAAUGUUAAAUAUUUCAAAAAAUUUACAUGGUAAUUCUAAAUAUUGGUAAAAUCAGACUAUUAAUAUUUUGUACAUUUUUAAUAUUUUCAUCCUUAAUUGAAAAUAUUUUCCAAAGCAACAUAAGAAUAAGGAGCUAGGGAAUGAUUCCCAACCUUCUAUUUUCAUGCCUAUUUGAUGCUUGGAAUGUGUAUUCUUCAUUUGUGGUUAAUUGCUUUUACGUUUAUAGGAAGAAGGGCCCAAACUCCCUUUGUUGCUCCUCUAUUCAUCCUUGUAAUCCCCACGCAUGGACAAAACAAAGGAGAUGGAUGGCUUUAUAUGUAUGACAAGUGUCUUGUAAUUGUGUAUGUGGAAUAAAGUUUGAGUCGUUAUUUCAAACUAUUAUGUUGUAAGAAUUAGUUGGAAAUGAUUUUUAGUUUUAAAAAUAAAAAAUAAUGUUUCAAUUUGAAAUGUCUUUAAUGAAAGUGUUUUUAAAAGAAUUACCUAUAAAUGUUUCUCCAAAAAACAACAAGUAAUUUUUUAAUACUAUAAAUAAUUUCUUUUAAAUUUUAAAAGUAUUGUUUAAAUUUUAUCAAAUACCUAAUAUUUUUUAAAGAACAUUUUUAGGUUGACAACGUUUUUCAAAAAGCAUUGUCAAAUAGACUCUUAACUCUUAUAUUGAUUUUAAAAACUAUUUCAAAAUUUUAAAAAUUCAAAUGUAAAUUUAAAAAACAUAAUGUAAGUAUGAGUUACUAUAUUUUAUAUAAAAGUGACUAUUAAUUUCUAUUUCUAAAAAUAAAAAUAAGAAAUGAAUUCAAAUUAUUAGUACUUAAUAAUUAACUAAUUAAUUAGUGUUUGAAUACAAAAAUAUAUAUAAUAAAUUAAUAAGUUUCUUAUAUGUUUGCAAAAGUAUCUAUAUAGAGUGUUAUUUAUUGAAAAUGUAUGAUAAAUUAAUAAGAUUCUCACUUAAGUUGCAUUUUAUUUGAAUUUUAGAAAUAAUAGUUAUAAAAUUAGAAGGAAAUCAGGUUGAUAUUGUCAAAUGAUGAUGAAACAUAAUUUAGAAAUUAAAACAGGAAGAAAAAAUUAAAUAAUUGUAUAUUCUAUAUUAUAGUGGAGGCAUCAAAUAUUUGUCUAUUACCAUUAUUAUUAUUAUUAUUAUCAUUUCCACCUAAUGUAUUCAUGGAAUACACAAGAGUUGAGUCACAUAAUCACCAAAUAAAUAAUAGGACAAAGUCCAACUCUCUCAUCUUACGAUGAUAUAUAUACCUUUUUUUAUAUUAAAUGAUAAAGCUAUAUGUAAUUCUAAAAAGAAUCUUUGCAACAACAUCUUGUAUUUUUGCAUGUGGUCAAAUAAUCAUCCUCAUUAUUAUUAUUAUUUUAAUACCACAACAACUACUCUACCUAAUCAUAAAUAAUAGCAAAUGGUUGCAAGCUGUUUUCCCAAUAAAUUAAGUUUUGAAAAGAAUCAUUUCAACUACGUACUCUAACUAAUCAUCAACAAUAAGAAAUGGUUACAAGUUGUUCUCCCAAUAAAUUAAGUCUUGAAUUCUCCCAGCAAAUGAAGUUUUGAAAAGAAUCCUUUAGUUGUAUGGUACUUUACUAUCUUUAUAUGUAAGGAUAUUUGUUCUCAUAUGUAUAUAAGGAUUUUUUUUUUUAUUUAAAAGAAUCACUCAAUAUGUGUAUUAUUAAUUAGUUUAUUACUUUUUAGAAUUUUUUCUAACAUUUUUGUAAUUUUUUAAUCAAUUUUUAUCCCAUAUUUUUUUUCUUCAAAUUUUUGUAUAAUAUUUAUAAUAAUUUUAUAAAAUUUGAAUAUUGAUAUUUUGUAAAUUUUUUACAUGUUCAUCCAAAAUCUUUUUAAAUUAUAUGCCUUUAAAAUAUAUUAAAAGUGUAAAGCACGUAACCAAAGGUAAGAAAUAUUUGAAAAUUAAGGUCGAUUAUGGUACCUAUAAUAUUUUAGUCACAAAUGCUUCUAUAAAAAACUUUUGUAGAUCAUAUUAAAAUAAAAUAUUAAGGAAGUGUUAGGAAGAUGCGAAGAUGUAAAAUAAAUUAAUAAGAUUAAGUAGCAUUUUAAUUGAAUAACUAAGACAGCGAGGAUAAAAAUAAGAAGAAAAAACAAACUUGUAUACGUCUUAGUAACACUAGAGAAACACGAUUUAGAAAAUAGAAUAAAAAAAUUGGAUAAUUUAUUAUCAACUUUGAUCAUUCCUAGGCUAUUUAUCAUAAUUUAUUCAUUAAAUAUUAUACAACAGCGGAGUCAUAGAAACCAUAUUGGCUAAAUAAUUAAAUUAAGUGAACUCUCUCUUAUCUUCUAUCAUGGUCUACUUAGAUAAAGCCUAGAAUAGUAAACAAGGAAUUUGAUGGCAUCUUUUCUUCUUUCAUAUGGCCAACUUCUCUAACUAUUAUUUUAAUCCCACAACUUCUCUAACUAAUCAUAAAUAACAAUUAUCAUUUCUAUCAAUGUUUGUUAUUUCCACUUAAUUUAUUCAUUGAUUCAUUGAAUAUACAAGGGUUGAGUCACAAUCCAUAGGGGUGAAAUAAUUGAAUGAAGUCACUCCCCCUUAUGCUUUUUCAUGAUAUACUUAUUUAUUAGAUGAUACAACUGUAAUAAUAGAAAAAAAAAAUUUGCAAUAGCAUCUUGUCUUCUUUCAUAUGGCCAAAUAGUCCUCGUUAAUAUUAUAAUACCACAUCAACGAGCUUAGAACAACAAAGAUACCCAAUAUAUUCUCAUUAAUAAUCAGUUGUAUUGUCAAGUAAUUUUUAAUUUAACUAUCAAGGUGUAAUUGAAAUAAUUUACCAAUUUUUUUCCAGGUUUUAGAUGAUUAUGGAUCAUAAUUCUUAUACUUUAAUUUUAAAUUUUCAUAAUUGGACUAGUUUUUCCACCAAAAAACCUUGAGUGGACAAUAAAUUAUAAUUAAAUGCAAAAUAUUUUUAUAAACAAAUAAUUAAAAAUCAUGAUUAAAAAUAGAAUAAAUAAUGCCUUCUUUUCAUAUGUUACUUGAAUUAACUAAUUUCUUAACAAUUUUAUAGUUAUAGAAAAUAAAUAAAUAAAGACGUAAAUCUAAGGAGACCGGAUGUAGGAAAUCUUAAUCAUAAGAACAUUCUUCUCUAUUAUGGUAAUUAUAUUACGAAAUAUGAAUUUCAUUACCGAGUCUACCCAUAUCAAUGGUAAUUCUUGAUAUUUAUAGUAUUUUAUGAUAACACAAUUAAUGUUUAAAUAUCAAUUAAAAAAAUUAAAAUUGGUUAAAAUGUUUGGGCUUAAUAUUAGGCCUCCAUUAUGAAUUGGUUUUCCUAAUUUGCCUAAACCUCGUUGUUUAGGACAAGAUAAAAAAAAAACUCAAAAUAAAAAAUUUGGAUCAAGACAAACAUUCAAACAUCCUUGUUGGCAUUUAAAUGUUGGGACUUUUAAAUUUGUUUCCUACUUUCUUUUUAACUCAAAAAUCUCAUUUUAAAAAUAUUUUAAAAUUAAGAAACUCUUUACAAUUGUUUGUUAGGGUUUUUCUAAUAUAAAAGAGUUUUUUGUUUGAUUGAAAUUUUGAGAACUUCCAAAAACUCUAGAGAAUAUAAUCAUUCUUAAAGGUUGUAACUCCAAUUUUUGAACCUUUUAAGAUAUUUCUUGAAAGAACCUUUUGUCUAUAAUAAGGGUUCAAGACUCAUACAACAAAAUUUCAAUAAGGGAUUCAAGAGAUCUACUAAAGAGCACAGGGAGUAACGCGUGAGGAAUGUGGAAAAGGAAUGUAAGUACUAUUGGUAUAAGACUUCCUAGAAUAGGUACAUUCAAUCAAGUAAAAAUAUAUAUUAUUUUCUCAUAUUUAGUAGAUUAUUUAACAGCUGAGAGACCACCAACAAUUUUUUACAUUUAGGUCACUAGUUUGGUUUUUUCAUAUUAUAUCCCAUGUUUAUUAUGUGAUUGGAAAUCUAUAGGAUUUAUCAAAUUUUACUUAAUAUCAAAAUUAUUUAACAGUUAAGAAACCAUCCACGAUUUUUUACAUUUACCCUACUAAUUGGUUUUUCCAUAUUAUAUCUUGUGUUUAUUAUGUGAUUGGAAAUCUAUGGGAUUCAUCAAAUUUUACUCAAUAUUGAUAUUAUUGAUAAAGAACACCAAAUUUAGGGUCGAUUACUUCAACUACCUAUUAAUCCCUUCGAGGCAAUUUUAUAUAUUAAGACAUAACAAUUCUUUCAUUAUUAUUCAUAUGAAAGGGUGAAUCAUGCAAAAUAUAUUUCUCUCAAAAGUUAAAUAGUAGCUAUGACUUAAAAUAGAAUAAUUCCCUCAUUUUAUAUAAUACAUAAAUUAAUUAAUUUAUAGUUACUUUCAUAUUUGAACAAAAGUUCUAAAGUAUUAACAUUAAAUAUUUAAAUGAGAAAUGAUAGGAAAUUAUGGUUUUCUCUUGAAAUUCUCUGUUAUGUCCCAAUCUAAGUUUCAUCAUGGCCAACUUUAAGAAGAAGAAGCUACAAUUCAUUUUGGGUUAGUUACCAUGAAGGUAAUAAAUAUUACACCCAAUUAUUAAGAAAAAAAUAUACUAAUUUCAUAACCAUGGACCUUUAAUAUAUAUGACACCUUUAAAAAGUGUAAUUUUUCUUGAUAAAACUCUAAAAAUGAUAGUAUAUUUAUUUUUUAGGCCAUCUAAUUAUUUGGAAGAAUGGCCAAUACUUAAACUAAAAAUUUCUAGCUUUGUUCCAACUAUAAUUGAUGAAAUUUAUGGAGAAAAAAAAAGCAAAACUAAGAAGACAAUAGUGUUGGAAUAAAAUUAAAAAAAAAAAAAAAAACUUAGGAACAAUUACAAAAAUCAUCCAUACUUUCAUUUAUAUAUCAGUUUAGUCUUUUUAACUUUUUUAAUGUAUAAUAUCAAUCAUAAAUUAUAUCCAAAUGUCAAAUAAGGCCUUUUGCUAAUAAGCAAAUAAAUAUUGGUAUUAGUUUUUAUAUCAUAUAUUUGGAUAUUUUCAAUUUAUCUACAUACUUUUCAUGAGACUUUUUUUCUUUUACAAAAAAUAUUAAUCAAAAUGUCAAGGUAUAAUUUAAGAUUAAUGUUACUUAAAAAAUAAAAUUUAGACACUAAAUUGAGAUAGUGGUAAAAAUUUUAAAAAUGAUUUUUUGUAAUUUUCUCUAACGUCUCUCUGUGCCUUUUUUGCUUUUUUUCCCAUUCAAUGCCCUCCACUCUUCUCCACCGCUACGGCUCCUUCUCAGGCCUGCUUUGAUCAAAUCAAAAGUCCUCAAACUGAUCCAAGCUGUAUUUAGGCAUUGUCUUGUAGCUCUAAAAAUUGAAAAGCCUAGUCGAAUUCCUUUUUAAAAUCUUUAUUAAAAAUCCCAAAAUUAAUUAUUAAGUUCUAUAUUAAAUUAAUCAUUUGGAAUUGUAUUGCCAUAGUAGUUAUUGUAAUAUCAUGAAAGGGUAAAGAAAAAGACAAAGAAAGCAAUGGAGUUCAAAACAACAAUGGAUGGAGCAAGAUUGAGGCAAAUUAGCUUUAGCCUAGGGUCCCAUGUGCCCCAUCUCCCUCAAACAAAUCCAACUUUACUAAUUCCACCCUCAACAAAUUGUUACAAAUAAAAACGCUUUAAUAGAACUCCCAAAACGAGUUCCAAGUCACUAAAAUGUUUUUCUUCGAUAUUUCAUAUAUAUCACCAAAAAAAAAUGAAUUACAACACUAUGGAAUAAUCUUCAAAAUAAUUUUAGUUGACUCAUUUCAUUUGGAUCUUGCAAUCUUAUACUCUAACAAUGCUCAUUCAUCAAUUUCAUUAGUAAAAAUAUUAUUAAAAUUAAUAAUUAUUAAAAAAAUUAAAUUAAUGACCUUUUUCAAAAGUCAUAUCUAUUUAGUACAAUAAAAUAAAACUUUCCUAUAUUAUGGUAGAAGAUGGUGGAGUACCAUCCAAAGAGAAAAGAAUUAAUUAUAAAAAUAAAAUAAAAUAAAAUAAAAUUAUAAAAACACUCCAAAUAAAAUUAGGUAAAACUUUAUAUAGAAGAGAAAAAUUAAGAUAGAUAGAUUUGAAGUAGCAAAUAAAAAAACAAUUAUUCAUUUUAAAUAUAGUUUUCAUUUUAUUUUAUUUUUCCAUUUUUUAUCGUAUAUUUUCUUCAAAAUUUAGGGAAAUCAAGAAGGGCUAUGAAAACGGAUGAGUGAUGUAAAAAGGGGAGAUGGAUCUAAUCGGGUAAUAAAUGAAGUGUUUGGAUAUUAGAAGAUAUAGAGUUUAGGCUUUUAUUAGUAAUAUUUCUAUGAAAAAGCAAAAAAAUUAUUAACCUUUUUUAAAACUUUUUUUUCAAAAUUUUGAAAUUUUUGAGAAAGUAAAAUUUUUUUAAUCUUUAAAUUUUAAGAAAUUUAAAAAGUGUUUUCAAGUAUAAAAAAUAUAUACUUACUUUUGUAUAAGAAUUUCUAUAUUUUAUUUUAUUUUAAAAACAAAGUUGAAAAAUGUAUCCAAACAUAUACUAACUAAUUAUCUUGAAAAAUGUUUUUAAUGGAAGGGUACUAACAAAAAAGCUGCAAAUAAAAACACUUUAAAUAAAAUCACUCUCAAACAAAUUCUAAGUUAUAAUAAAUAUUUUUCAUCAAUAUUUCAGAUCACCAAAAGAAAUAAAGGACUACAACAUUAAGGAAGAAGCUUCAAAAUUAUUUUAAUUUAAACUUAUUUCAUUUGUAAUCUUGCAAUCUCACGCCCUAAAUAUUCCCAUUCAUCAAUUUCAUUGGUAAAAUUUCAUUAGAAUUAAUAAUUAUUAAAAAUAAAUAAAUAAAAAAUCCCUUUAAAAAAUCAUAUCCAUUUAAUCACAACAAAAUAAAACUUUCUUGUUAUCAUGGUAAAGUAAGUCCAAGAGAGAAAAGAAUUGGUUUUAAUAAAUAAAAAGAAAAACAAAACUUUGAAAAUUUUCAAAUAUUCCAAAAUUUCUAAAAAAGUUCCACAAUCAAAGUUUUGUGAUCCCAAAAGAAGGAAAGACUUUACAAGUUAUCGACAAUUUCAAAUUUUCAAUUGGAGUUGUAAUAAAAUUUAAAUUAGAUUACAAAUCACAAUUUCAAUUAAUCUCAUUUCUUGUUAAUUCAAAUAGCAAGAAGAAAGUUGAAUAAAUUAAGGACCACUAGUCUCUCUUUAUCAGAAAUGUCUUCAAGCUUUUAAUGCCUUCACAUAUCCUUUUCAAUUUGAAUGCUACUACCUACCUAAUAAUAGUGGUCAAAAUUUUAAAGCAUUCACGUAUCAUUUUCAACUUGAGUACUAUUGUCCCCCUAAUAAUUGAAAUGUCAUUUUCUAAAAGUUUUCUCACUUCUUUUACAACCAUUAGUCGUCUAAACAUUUCAACCUUAUAAUAGGGCAUAUUCUACUUGAUAAUACUUAUUUUUUGUCUAAACAUUUCAACCUUAGGAUAAGGUAUAUUCUACUUGAUAAUACUUGUGUUACUAAUGAGAAGGUAUUCAAUACAUCUAUUCUAUCAUAUUAGUAUGAUAAUAUAGUAUAAAUGUCUAUUCAUAUUUAUCAAAUAAGGAAGGAAAAAGAAGUUAUUUAGAUUUGAAAAUAAUUAAUAAAAGUUUUAAAUUAUUAGAAAAAUGAAUUAUAAAUUUUUUUUUAAUAAAAUAACUUAAAUAUCAUUUAAUAUCGAAAAUAUAAAUAAAUUAUUAUGCUACAUUAGUAAGCAUUAUUAUAAUCGAGUGCAUUGGCAAGUAAUUUUCAAUUUGACCAUCAAGGUGUAAUUGCAAAAAAAAAAUUAUAAAAAAAAAAAUGAAAAGAGUGAAAAGAGAAAGUUAGGAAGAAAAGGGAAGGGAAAAAAGAAGGAAAAUGAGGAUUUUUGUUAUAGAAGACUUGAGAGGAAUCUAAGAGAGAUGCAACAUUUUUUUUUGUUUGUUUAUUUAUUUAUAUUUUUUCUUAUUUAUUCGUUUUUGUUUUUUUGUAUUAUAAUUAAACUGGAGAAUGUGUUUAGUUUAUAUAAACGAGAUUAGACUUUUCUAAUUUAGAAAAUUAUUUCUAGUACCAUAAAUUUUUUUAGAUCCAAAUAUUGUUACUUUAUUUUUUGAUAUAUUUAUUAUAUAUAUAUAUAUAUAUUAAGAAGUUUUUUUAUAAUUAAUUUUCUGUUAUCAUAUAAAUUGAGUCAUUGCUAUAUAUUAAUAUGAAUAAAAAUUGUAAAAUCAUUUUUCUUGACUAAUCUUGUAAAAUUAUGUAAAUUGAUAUUAUUUCUCAUAAUAAUUGUCAAUAAAAUCAAAGAACCAUUUUUUAUGUUUUUAUUUUAACAUUAAUAAAGUCAAUAAUCAUUUUUAAAUAAAUUUUGUGAGGUUGUAUGAAUUGAGGUUUCUUUUGUAUAUUUACAUUAAUAAAAAAAAAUCGUUUCUUUUGAAUUAUUAUUGUGAGACCACAUACAUUGUAUGUGGCAUCAAUGAAAUAAGGAAAAUCAUUUACUUAACAAGGUUCAUUUUUUACUAUUAAUUUUUCCCUUUAUCCAUGUAUCAACUUUCCAUAUGUUUAUACUUCUUCAUUUUGUGUCUGAUUUAUUAUUUAAUUAAUUCUUUUAAUUUCAAUCAUUCUACUAAAAAUAAUAUAAAAAGCCACUGACGGAGUUAGAAAAUUGAGCAGUCAAGAUGUUGGUAUUUAUUGGAGUGUAGGUAAAUAAGAAACAAAUUACCUUUGUGGGCUACUAGUAGUAAUUGAAUUCAUGUUUUGUCUAAAGAAAGGAAUCAAAUUUCUCUUUCUGCAAAAAUUUUAGGGGAGCACUUGCCCUAGUCAUGGGAAACCUUUAACUGGGGCACCUUAGCUAAGGUCCCAUUUGGUGCCCCAUCUCUCUUCAUCAGACACAACCUUUAAUAAUUGUAAUGGGUACUAACUAGAUGAUUCCACCAAAUAAUUUUUCAUACAUAUUAUCAGCUCACUUUUUUGUUUAAAUAAAAUAAUAAGUGAUUCUAUUUAAAAACAUUUCUAAUAUAACCAUUAUUAACAAAAUAAACCAAAAGCGUUUGAAUCAAAAUUAGUCUUAAAUAGACUCCUAUGAAGAAGUUGAAGAAGUUGUCUUCAAGUACUAAUAACUCCUAUGAACAUACUUGUAAUUUGAAAACCUUAAGAGUCAUGAAUGAGUUAAAUUGAGAAGAUUAAGAGUGUAUUUGGGUGCAACAAAUCUCGACUUUCUUAGCAUUAAAGUCCUACUGGGUAAACUUAAGGCCAUGCUACCACAGAGAGGCAAGGGAUUUGACCCCAAAAUGUACAAUUUUUCUUUGUUAUAUCAAUACAAACAACCAUCUGUCCAUUAAUUUUAAUUUAAGUGAAAUCGUUUUACUCCAGAAAUCAGAAGUUGCAAUGGAAGGCGUUCAUAAUUUUGGGUUGGACAAAACGUGCUUACUGGGGGUAGUGGACAAUAAAGAAGCGAAUAGAGGUGGUAGGGGCCUAUCAUCCAGCUGGACUCUCAAAUGCAAAAAUGGAGAUUCGUUUGUCCCAACUCUUCUCCACUACUACGGCUCCACAGCACUCCUUCUUAGGACUAAUAUAAACUCAAAAGUUUGCAUUAGGUUCUAAUUUUAAAAUUUUGAGGAAGUGAAAAUUUUUCUACUUUCUUAAAAUUUAGAAAUUUUAAAAAUGUGUUGUUAAAUAUAGAAUAUACCUAUUAUAAUUCUUAUAUUUCAUAUAAGAUUUUCUAUUUUUUAAAACAAAACUGAAAAAUGUAUUAAAAUACAGACUAAGUGUUUCUCUUUAAAAAUAUUUUUAAUGAAAACACAAUUAAAAAAAAUGUUGCAAAUAAAAAUGCAUUAAUAUAAUUCCGUUCUAAUUCAUUCAAAUAUUUUUCUUGGAUAUUUCAUAUAUCUCACCAAAAGAAUAUGGAUUACAAUAUUAUCGAAGAAUCUUAAAAAUAAUUUUAGUUGAUUGAUUUCAUUUAGGUCUUGUAAUCCUAUACUCUAACUUUACUCAUUCAUCAAUUUCAUUGAUAAAAUAUUAUUAAAAUUAAUAAUUAUUUAAAAAAAAUUAAAUUAAUAACCUUUUUCAAAAACCAUAUCUAUUUAGUACAAUAAAAUAAAACUUUCCUAUAUUAUGGUAGAAGAUGGUAGUGUAUCGUCUAAAGAUAAAAGAAUUGAUCAUAAAAAUAAAAUAAAAUAAUAUAAAAACACUCCAAAUAAAAUUAGGAAAAACUUUAUAUAGGAGAGGAAAAUUAAGUUAAAUAAAUUUGAAGUAAUAAAUAAAAGAAAAAUUAUUCAUUUUAAAUAUAAUUAUUUUUUUUCUUUUACCCUUUCUUUCUAAUUUUUUUCCCUUAUAUUUUCCUCAAAAUUUAUAGAAGCCAAGAGGGCCUAUGCAAGUGGAGAAAUGAUGUAAAAAGGGAAGAUGGAUCUAAUCAGACAAUAAAGGAAGUAUUUGGAUAUUAGAAGUUCUAAAGUUUAGGCUUUAUUAGUAAUAUUUUUAUGAAAAAACAAAAAAUUUAUCUUGCUUUUUCUAAAACUUUUUUUUCAAAAUUUUGAAAAUUUUGAGAAAGUAAAAUUUUUUUAAUCCUUCAAUUUUAAGUAUUUUAAAAAGUGUUUUCAAGUAUAUAUAUAUAUAUAUAUAUAUAUAUAUAGACACCUAGGACAAGGUCAUAUGCAAUGAAAACAGGAAUUAUGUCAUGAUUCAAAACAAAGAAGAGGGUUAGAAAAUACAAAAGAUAUCCAACAAAGAAAUUUAAAGAGAAGAAACCAAAAACUUGUUAGUUCAUAAUAAGCUUAAAACCGACCAUGUAGGCGGUAUAAAAUGAAAAACAUAAACUUAAAAACAAAGCUUAAUUAAAACCGACUAUGUAGGCGGUACAAGAACAUAAAAUAAAAUGAAAAACAAAACUUAAUUAAAACCAUCCAUGUAGGAGGCAUAAGAACAUAAAAUAAAAACAAAACCAUCCAUAUAGGAGGUAAUCAAAACAUACUUAUAUUAUACAUAAGGAGAAAUAUCUUACAAUGGACAAGGGUAGGAAAGCUUGAAGAAAGCUUGAAAGCUUGAAGGGCAUACAUGAUGAGAGAGAAAGAAGAGAGAAGGGAGAGCAUAAGCUUAGGAGAGAAAAUUUUAGUGUUUUUUACAAAUGAGGACCGAGCCUCUUUAAAUAGGCAAAAAAGGAAUCUUGAAUAGUAACCAUGAAUAGUAGACCCGUGCUUGAAUAAUGAAUAGUGAACAGUGAAUAGUAAGAUUCACUUUUAUACCGAAAUCCCCCAAAAACUCUCUUUCGGCUGAGAAGACUUCUGGCAGGCUGCUUUAUACUGUGUAGACACAUGUUUGCUGCUUUUGGUGCAGAAAAUGCUGGAAAAGCUUGUUGAAGAGGAUAAACUUGCAGGCUGAGAAUCAUGAAGCUUUGUAAUUUCUUAUUGGUGGAAGAAUACCUUCACAGUCGUCGCCAUUGUCGGGAAGGUAGCUUGUGGAAUCAUCAGAGUCUGCAUAUGAGUUGUCUUGAGAAAAGCUUGAGCUUCCUUCUUCCAAGAUUUUCUGGAAUUCUUGAGGAGUUUUUGCUGCUGCUAACAUGGCUUGGAGCUGUUGCUUUUUAAGCAAAAACUGAGAUGUUUCAUCAUUAGCUGAGGCUUGUGUGGGAUGCUUGAGGAAGUACUGCUUAACAACAUUGAGUGAUGCAUCAUUUUUUAAGGCAUCCCACCAUUUUGUUUUAAAAGUCCUUCCAAGGGUUGGAAAGGCUGUUGAAUCAUCUGCUAUGAUUAAAUAAUCCCACUGGACAAUCCAAGCGAGGCCAAAAUUGCUGAAGAAGAAUAAUAAAUGUGGAAAAGCUGAAAGUUCUCUUGGAAUAACAAAAGAACUAUUGAAUAGCUCAAAGCCAUCCAAUACAGGCUUAGGGAGGAUUUUAGUAGAUGGUCCAAAAUAGGUCCACCAAUUGUGAAACCAAAAAAGGAAAGAAGAAAGCUGGUUCUUGGAAGGAAAAUAGAACAUCCAUGAAUGAUGGAAGUCCCUAUUCUGGAUCAGAAAAGCAUUAAACCAUGCUUUCUGAUAAUCCCAAUAAUUAAAAAAUCUUGGCUUAGAUGGUUCAGAAAACUCCCUUGAAAGAUUGGGAUUCCCCCCCCCCCCCCCCNNNNNNNNNNNNNNNNNNNNNNNNNNNNNNNNNNNNNNNNNNNNNNNNNNNNNNNNNNNNNNNNNNNNNNNNNNNNNNNNNNNNNNNNNNNNNNNNNNNNNNNCCCCCCCCCCCCCCCCCAUUGCUUGACAGUUAGGAUCUUAUAGAUAUGACAAGUGGAAAAUGCCAAAUCUAAAUUGCUGAAUUUAUCUGCAUUAUGCUUGAUCUUAACAGAACCAGUUUCAAUAAGAACUGCUUCAUAAAAUUCUCUUGUUUUUAAAAGAUCGGCAGAGGGAUAGUGGAAAUUUUUAUAAAAAGCUUUUGCCACAAUCUCUCUGGGGUUUUCAGAAAAAAAAACUCUCUUUCAAUAACAAAAAGAGGUUGAUUUAAAUCUUUUUGCCAAUAUCUUGAUUUUGUUGAAAGAGAUGUGGGGUUGGCAGCCACCACAAUUUGUUUGCUUGAAAAAGAGGAGCUUGCUGCUAAUUCCUUUUGAGAGGGAUUAGCCAUAGUGACCUGCUUAAAGGUCUGAGACCCUGAGAUAGCUGGAUAUUGGGUUGCCUUAACUGGUUUAGAAGGAUCCGAAGGAUCAUAGUAUAAGGUCAACAUCUUGUUAGGCAUAUAGUUAGAUUCAUGCAUAGAUUUAGAAGAAUGAAGCUUUGCCAAAAACCGUGCUUCUUCUUCUUCUUGUUCAACUUGUUGGCUCCAAAGCAUUUUAUGAGGAGAAGGGGAUUGGUUAGUUUGACUGGACUGGGAUUUUUGUGAGCUAGGAGCUGGGGCAUUCUUUUUAGGGGCCAUGAUCUCAUGAACCCUGCAAAAUUCUCGAGAUAGCUGAUUAGGGAUGAAAUAUUCUCCUUUAAUAAAAUUACCUUGAAAAUUAGCUUUUAAAAUAAUUUACCAGUUAAUUAAAUCAUACCUAAAAGCUAUGUAUUUAAUUGUUCCAACAUUUUUGAAAACAAUUUUUAAUAAAAAUUCUUGAUUCAAAAUACCAAUUUGAAAAUUUGAAAUGAGUAAAGAAAUGCUUAAAAUAUCAUUAUGCAUGAACUGGUUGCAUAUUAUCUUAUGAGGAACAUCUAAUCCAACAAGAUUAAUUUCUUGGUUACAAGGCGUGAUGCUUACAGUUGGAUUAGCAAAUUCAAAAAGAAUUUCCUUAUCAAAAAGCUUGGUUCUUAUACCUUGGUUAUCUACCCACAAGGGAUAAAUAGAGCUAAGAAGGGUAUUCCUAGAAGGGCUUUUUCCUUAAGAUCCUUAACAAGGAUAAAGGUUUGCUUAAUACAGAUGUCAUGGUUACGGAUAUGAACAUCUGUUAAUUUAUACUUAAUAGCAAGUCUUUUGCCAUUGGCUCCAAAUAGAGACUGACUAGUCUCUUUGCAUAAAGAAAUAGGUACAAGACCUUCUUGAAGGCAAUUUUCAGCUGCUCCUAAAUCAAUCAAAGCAAUAAUAUCAAAGACAAAUUUAUCUUUGACUACUAUAGUAAGGGAGACUUCCCACCUCUGUAAGAUAACCCUACUCACAGUAUUCAAAAAAGUAUCCGUCUCAUUAUCAUUAACAUGAGAAGAUUCUGGAAUAUCCAUAUGGAUUUCUUGGUUGCCAAUUCUAUUGAUUUGAUCUUGGAGAUCAGAGAGACCUAGACUUAUGAAUUGUCUUAACUCCUUAAUCUCCUUUUUAUGCUGCUUAACUUCUUCAUGAAGUUCCUUAAUGCUGACUUCCUUGGGAGACUGUUGGUCAAACCUGUUUAAGAUAUCAUUAAGGUUAUAAGGAUUAACAGUCUUCUUGGCUUCUACCUUAACAACAGAUUUCUUAAAAACUUCAUAAAGAUUUUGCUUAGUCUUUUCAUCUUAACCUUUUCUUAAAGUAUCUAGGAUAAAUUCCUGAUCUUGGCUUAUGACAUUUAUAGUUUUAGGAUGGCAAUUACAAUUACCUUUAAUACAUUCUGCUUGGUCACUAGAAGAUUGGCUGGAAACUUCACCACUACUGUCUAGUUGAUUAAUGUCAUCUUCAUUAUCUGAAUCAGUCCUUGAUUCAGAAUCUGAGGAGUUUAACAUUACCUUACAAAGCAUAUUUUUUAGGUCAUCUGAAACACUUAAGUUAUUAAUCUUUUGCUUAACUCUACAAUCUUUCUUAUAAUGACCAACUUUGCCACAUUUAAAACAGAUAAUUGGCUUGACAUCUAAAGGAGUUUCUACCUUUUUCUGGGUAUCUUUGUUGACCCUUCUUUGGACGUGCCUUGACUGAUUAGUAUCAUUCAUCCUAUAGUUGUCAUAGGUACCUCUCUUACUGUGGUAAAACUUAUCUUUGCUAGGCUUCCUGCUUGGUUUUUGCUUAGAGGGAGGCAUAGUUUCCUUUUGGCUGAAACCAAACUGGCUACAGAAUGAUCCAAAUUCAUUCUUGUAGAUUUUUUGUUCAUUCUUCAUCUGUUGCUUAAGCUUGAAGUCAUUGCACAACUUAAUCCCUUCAGCUGUGACAAUGCUUAUAAUCUCACCAUAGGUUAGCUUGUCAUAAGGGAUUUGACCAUUAUAUUGUUCCCUUAUCUUGAUCCUAAUUCUCUCAGAGAAAAGCUUGGGCAAUCCUGAGAUGAAUUUUUCUUUCCAAAAAGACUGGUUACAAUCUGAUCUUAACAUGACUUUGGUUAGGAAGACUUCCUUAUACCACCUAAAAUCAUGAAGCUUGGGACACUUAAGGUUGGUUAAGAGAUCUGCAGUUUUAUCCUUAAUUUUUGCAGGAUCUCCAAUGAAGUGCUUGGAUAUUGAGUAGAUUAGAGUAGCCACUGCAUCCUCUAUAUCUUGGCCAUCUUUGUCCUUAACAACUUCAUUAUUCUCAUUAAUCCUAUAGGCUUUAAGGAUACUAUUCCUAUCAUCAAAAGUGAGAUAAUUAUCCCACCAACCCUUAAGCUGACCUGUAAACCCAGCAACAAUGGUCUGAGCUACAACAUGAUCUGGCAGUCUAUUGUUUAAUUUAUAGGCUGUACUAACCAUGGUCAUUUCUUGAAGCUUAGUGAGUAUGUUAUACUCGGUCAUACCGUCUAUGUUCCAUUCAUAGAUAGUACCACUGGUGUAUGAGGCUUGAGUAUACUGAUUUCUUUCCUCAAACUGCAUGUCAGGAAAAAUAGGUCUAGGAUAGUAAUUCCUAGUCUUAAAGGUUUCGAAAUUGUUAAUAAUUUGAUCAUGGGGUUCCUCAAACAUCUUAAUUAGUUCAUCAGCUUCUUCUUCUGAACUAAUAUCACCUUUAACCAUAUUGAUUCUCUUAUCAGGCUGAACAGUCAAAGGGGCAACAAGAUUAUCCUUAAUCUUCUGAUUAAUCCUAUCAAUAAAAGCUUGGUUGAAUUGGGGAUUUUCUUAGAAAUCCUUAGAGAAUUCAUAUGGCUUAUUUUCAUUAUUACUACUGGUAACCUUUAUACGCUUAAAGGGAUAAUCUGGAUAUUCCUCUUGUUUGAAGAGUUCAAACCAAAUCCAAAACUUAAUAUUUUUCUUUUCUUGUCUUAGGUAGGCAUAGAAUUCUUCUUGGUAAAUGGUUCUAAUGACUUUAGGGAUAGUGCUAAAGAACCAAUCAUUUCUUUGCUUAUUGACUUCAGAAUAGAAGUCCUUUCUUAAGAGAUCCUUGUUGAUCUCAAAGUCCUCAUCACUUAGGCUUAUUGUGUUAAUCAUCUGGGAAUAGGUAGGAGACAUAACAGGGGACUCAUCUUGUUGGGAUUCCUGAGUAGACUCAUUUUCUUCACUGUAAAAUGGUCUAGCCACGUUGGUGUGAUUUCUAAUACCUGUUAGCUUAAUGUUCUUAGGAUUUCCUGAGCUGUAACCUUCUUCUUCCCUAGUAGUUCUAACUGGGAUGGAAGAGCUUGAAGCUCUAGAGGGUUCAUAAACAGAAACUCUAGGGCUGCUGGAGUGUCUGAAAGAUUUGGAGAAGACCAGUUCUCCUCCUCCAUCUGGAUAUUGAACUAUUUGUUCAAUACUUUCAGAACGCUGUGCUAUGGCUGGAACAGCAUUAGAAAAAUGCCAAUUUUCAGGGAAAUCAACAUCUUUCCACAAGAUCUUCUUGGGGAUGAUGAAAUCUGACUUAUCUAGCAUAUCUGAGUGAAAAUAGGUGGUCUCACCUUUAGGACUGGUACAAAGAGCCCCAGAUCCAACGCUUGUGUUCAUGCUCUUAUAGGCAAACCUGGUUAUGAUAGAAACAGGAUUGUUUCCUGGUUUGAUCUUAAAGCCAUGGGUCUUAAUAUGCAGGACAACGGAAUCUAAGAUGUCUGCAUCUCUUAUUCUAACUGUGAAGUUAGGAUAGCACUGGAAAUAGACUGGGCCAUCAUUCAGUCCAGCUUGGACUACGCCUAUAAUAGAAUCUCGAUAUUCGAGAUGUCUAUUAUCCCUUAAACACAUGACAAUAGAGGUGUUUAAACCUAAUCUUGUCAAAGGCUUAGCUGCUACUUGAAUCAUACCAAAGUGUAUGAAAUUAUAGCCAUCUUUCUUAUGCUUAUCAAUGGAUCUGUUAUCUAGAAGUCUUAUGACUUGGUCGUCUUGUUCUAAGCUGACUGACAUUUCAGAGGUCUUAAUGGUAUAAUAUGUGAAGAACUUAAAGGUUCAUUUCUUAUAAAUUUCUUGAUUAGACACCUUGGGUAACAUCCAAUCAUCUAAAUCAUUUUGGAUCUUAGGAUAAUUGAUCUCUUCACUGUUUACAACAGUAUCUUGAGAAUCACUGGAUCUCCUAGACAUGGUUCGGAAAAUUGAACUCAUUUUAGGGUUUUUGAACUAGAGCCUAAUAGCAGAUUGACAGACCUUAUGAGACGUCACCCCAACCCUCUUACAGCCUAACAAACGCCUAUCCACGGCUAACAACGGCUCAACCGGCAGGGCUCGCGCUCCCAGGCACACUGCUACCUAUCCUAGGAUAGGCCAAGAACACCCAAAACAAGACCCAACUUCCCUCGCACAUGGCUCUGAUACCAUAGACACCCAGGACAAGGUCAUGUGCAAUGAACAAAUGAAUUAUGCCAUGAUUCAAAACAAAGAAGAGGGUUAGAAAUCAAACAAGAUAUCCAACAAGAAAUUUAAAGAAAAUGAACCAAAAACUUGUUAGUUCAUAAUAAGCUUAAAACCGACCAUGUAGGCGGUACAAAAUAAAAAACAUAAACUUAAAAAUUUUAAUUAAAACCGACCAUGUAGGCUGUAUAAGAACAUAAAAUAAAAUGAAAAACAAAACAUAAUUAAAAACCAUCCAUAUAGGAGGUAAUCAAAACAUACUUAUAUUAUACAUAAGGAGAAAUAUCUUACAAUGGACAGGGGUAGGAAAGCUUGAAGGGUUUACAUGAUGAGAGAGAAAGAAGAGAGUAGGUAGAGCUUCAGCUUAGGAGAGAAAAUUCAAGUGUUCUUACAAAUGAGGACCUUGCCUCCUUAAAUAGGCAAAAAAAGAAUCUUGAAUAGUAAUCAUGAACAGUAGACCCGUGCUUGAAUAGUGAAUAGUGAAUAGUGAAUAGUAAGAUUCACUUUUAUACCGAAAACCCCCAAAAACCCUUUUUCGGCUAAGAAGACUUCUGGCAGGUUGCUUUAUACUGUGUAGACGAAUGCUUGCUGCUUUUGGUACAGAAACUACAAAGCUUGUAAAAUAUUCUUGUUGACCGGUCAUCAUGAGAAAUCCUUACGAUGAUCUUCAAGAAGCUUAAUAUCUUCAGUACUAGCCAUGGUUGGAAGAGGGUGUAACUUCUUGCCACAGAAAAUUAGAUGACAAGAAUCUGCAGCAAUAAGAUGUCCCAUAUUUCUUGGAAAAGCCUCAAAAUCCCUGCAAAUAAUUCUGGCUCUCCAGUGUUUGAUUUGCUUAAUAAUGGAUUCAGCACAAAUAUCAGAAAAUAACAGAGGGUAAGACAGCCGAGUAGGUCUCCUAUUCAGAUAGUGAAGAGAAACAAUUUGUUGACCUGGAAUAAGCUUGCCACUAGAAACCCACUCAGGAGUUUUGCUGAUGAUGAUGGCUUCUGCGAAUUUCUUAUUUAUUUUAAAUCCUUGGGUUAGGCUAAGAGCAAUUUUUCUUCCAAACUGGGAAACUUGGUUGGGAUCAGAACAGAUGAUUUGAUGGACUAGACCAUGGUCCAGAAGCUUUUCUGGAGUUAAUAAUAAAUCUUCACCCUUGAAUUGAUGCUGAUUGGUGAAUAGUAUUGCAAGUCCAAGCAAACACGACUGAUUGUGAAAUUUCUGUUGCAGUUGCAAAUCAACUUCUUGAUGCCUUUUUGGUACUGGAAAGGUUCUUCAAUUAUUCUGCAAAUUUUUGAAUCAUCAACUUUCUUCUCAGUAACCAAGCUUAAACCUGGGACCUUAAGACCAAUAUUGGUGGAAAGAUAGAAAUUUAUAAGAAAGGAACCUUUAAGUUCUUCACAGAUUAUACCAUUAAGACCUCUGAAAUGUCAGUCAGCUUAGAACAAGACGACCAAGUCAUAAGACUUCUAGAUAACAAAUCCAUUGAUAAGCAUAAGAAAGAUGGCUAUAAUUUCAUACACUUUGGUAUGAUUCAAGUAGCAGCUAAGCCUUUGACAAGAUUAGGUUUAAACACCUCUAUUGUCAUGUGUUUAAGGGAUAAUAGGCAUCUCGAAUAUCGAGACUCUAUUAUAGGCGCAGUCCAAGCUGGACUGAAUGAUGGCCCAGUCUAUUUCCAGUGCUAUCCUAACUUCACAGUUAGAAUAAGAGAUGCAGACAUCUUAGAUUCCGUUGUCCUGCAUAUUAAGACUCAUGGCUUUAAGAUCAAACCAGGAAACAAUCCUGUUUCUAUCAUAACCAGGUUUGCCUAUAAGAGCAUGAACACAAGCGUUGGAUCUGGGGCUCUUUGCACCAGUCCUAAGGGUGAAACCACUUACUUUCACUCAAAUAUGCUAGAUAAGUCAGACUUCAUCAUCCCCAAGAAGAUUUUGUGGAAAGAUGUUGAUUUCCCUGAAAAUUGGCAUUUUGUUAAUGCUGUUGCAGCCAUAACAACGUUCUGAAAGUAUUGAACAAAUAGUUCAACAUCCAGAUGGAGGAGGAGAACUAGUCUUCUCCAAAUCUUUCAGACAUUCCAGUAGCCUUAGAGUUUCAGUUUAUGAACCCUUUAGAGCUUCAAGUUCUUCCAUUCCAGUUAGAACCACUAGGGAAGAAGAAGGAUCCAACUCAGGAAAUCCUAAGAACAUUAAGCUAACAGGUGUUAGAAGUCACACCAACGUGGCUAGACCAUUUUACAGAGAAGAAAAUGAGUCUACUCAGGAAUCCCAACAGGAUGAGUCCCCUGUUAUGUCUCCUACCUAUUCCCAGAUGAUUAACACAAUAAACCUAAGUGAUGAGGACUUUGAAAUCAACAAGGAUCUCUUAAGAAAAGACUUCUAUUCUGAAGUCAAUAAGCAAAGAAAUGAUUGGUUCUUUAGCACUAUCCCUAAAGUCAUUAGAACCAUUUACCAAGAAGAAUUCUAUGCCUACUUAAGACCAGAAAAG